rnacentral:lncRNA from 1 species
UAAGUAUAAUGUAUGAUGUGAGUUUAGUGAUUCUUAUUCAUCUUGUAUUGUUGUGUUUGUGAGUGGAGGUUUGGUUGUUAAUUGUAUAUGUGCUACGUUGUGUAAAUAUAGGGGAAAUUCUAUCGGUUUGUUUCAGAUAUUUUCUGUAUUUGUGGCGGGUCCAUUACAUCCGUGGAUAAAGGUUAAAAAAUAAAAAAGGUAGUUUUCUGUUGACUUUGAUUUAUAAAGAUAGCUCGAUUUUAAAUAAGCUUUCAAAAAGAGACCCCGGAGUGUGAUAAUGAGUCUAUUUAUUGAUUUUUUUACCUUAAUUUGUUUUUCAAUUAGUUUUAAAUAUUUAAGUACUUUUCAUGUAUGUUUCAUAAUAUACAAAUGUUUUUAAUGUGUAUCGAAAUUUUUAAAAUUUGAAUUAAUUCUUAAUUUUAAAUUAAUGAAUUUAGAUUUAAGUUUAUGAAGAAAAUUCAAAAUUUGAAGCUAAUUUUGAAUCCAUAAUUUGAACACAAAUAGUUAUUGGAAACAUAGAUUUAUUUAUCAACUUAUCCAUCUUUUAAAUUUGAUAAAUUUCCAUGUUAAUUAAUUUUUUUAUUUGAAAAAAUCUAUUUAUAAACCCAAAUAUUAAAAUUUUAAAUUAUUUUUAAAUCUUGAAUUAAAAUAUGGAUUCACUUUUGAAAUUAUAAGUCAAAUUUAAAAUUUAAAGUUGAUUUGAUAGACUUAUUUUUAAAACAUUCAAUUUCUCAAACUUUUAGUUAGUUAAUUGAGAUAUAGUGAAUAAUGUGAAAAUUUUCAAUGUGUGCUUGUAAGAGAUAUUUUUUUCGAUGAGUAUGACAUAUUCUUUUAUGGGGCACUUGUGAAAAAUAUUCUACAGGAGAUAUCCUUCGAUUGGCAAAAAUUUAGAUAAGUAUAAAUUUUAUCUUUCUGUUUCUGCAAACGAAAUGCAAUAUUUUUUCCUGCUAAAAACUAAAUUUGUCAACAACUAUUUUAAUGGUUUUCUCCAAUCAACAUAAAUUUGUGAAUUAUAUUUAUCCAAAAAUUUAAAUUUUUAAAAAGUAAAUUUAUCAGUUAUAAUUUAUUUGAAAAUAUUUCAUAUCCUAAUUCAAAUUUAAAUAGUUAUUGCCAGUAAUAAUUAUAUAGUUUUAUUUUUAUAUAUACAUAUUUUUCUCUUCGUUUAAGUCUGACAAAUCAAAAAUUCAAAAAUACAUUUUAAAAUAAAAGUAUCAAAAUUUUAAUUCAUGUUUAAUUCAAAAUGCUACAAUAAAUUUUAAAUUAAAUUUAUAUUUAUCUAUCAAUUUAAAUUAUUAUUGGUGGUAUGUUUCUAUUUAUUAUUUGAAUUUUUUCCAACUUUAAUUUAUCCCCAAAUAAGCAAAAUAUAUUUUCAAUAUAGUUAUACUGUAAAUCUUUUAUAUGUGUUUCACAACAUACAAAUCUUUUUCAAAUUUAAAAUUUGAAUUAAUGCAAAAUUUUAAAUUAGUAAAUUUAGAUUUAAAUUUACGAACAAAAUUCAAAAUUUGAAGUUUAUUUUGAAUUCAUAAUUUGAAAAUUAGUAGUUAAUUAACUUCAAUUUGAAACAAUUUGUUGACAGACCCAAAAUUAAAAAUUAAAAAUUAAUUUUUGUUGGAAAUAAUAAUCCAAACUUAAUUAAAAUAUAGUUACAGAUAAGUCUAAAUCUUUUAUUUGAUUAUGGUUAAGAUUUGUUGUAGUAUCCCUGGUGUUCAGCUUUUGAGGCUUGUCGACACGCCGUGAGGGUGUCGGGAUAAGUCCGAGUCUUGUUGGCGCGAAAUAGACGCAAAACGGAGUCAGCGGGGACGCGAGAGCAGGAGUUAACAUCAAAAUCUGCGAAAUUGCAGAUUUUCUGCUUGUUGUAUCGGUACAACAUCAGGGUUGUACCGGUACACUUUCUGUACCGAUACAGCAUCGGAGGUGUACCGGUACACUUCGCCCGAUUAGCGAGCAGCUACUCUCGGGUUGCCCAUGUGUACCGGUACAAACGCGCGUGUACCGGUACACUCUAGUAGGUGAGAGGGUAAUUUAGUCUUUUUCACCUAGUUUCUAUCACCACCCCUUCCCCCUCAGCCUAUACUGAGGAGAGGAGGUGAGAGAGAGGUUUUAUUAGUUUCUUCUCCUCUCUCUCUCUAGACCUGAUCGUGAGCAACGAGGAACCGGGUAGAGUUUGGGUGUUGUCGACGUCGCGCCGCGGUACCGUUCGAGCGUGUAUUCGUCAUCGUGGUGCUGCGAGGAGGCUUGAUGAGCAUGGAUUUUCACCGUCGUCGACGUUGUGCCGUCUCUUGAGGGGUUUUCGAGGUGAGUGAUCCAUCGAAAUCACUUUAUUUAUUUCAAGCUCCAUCAAUUUCGAGCUAGGGUGCUGUUCCUACAGAAUUCCAGCGUCGACCGUCGGUGUUUCGGUUCGUACGCGACGUAGGAGUAUCAGAUUGCAACGAAACUUGGUUCGUUGGAUUUAGGACUUCGAGAGGAAUCCACGAAGCCCAAGAUUCCUGAUUUUGGUGAAGGUUAGGUUGGUCGAACUCUAAUUCUUCUCUGCUGCUGUUGUAUUGAGCAGAUUUUCGAGUUUUUGAGUUUCUCUUGGUGUAAUUCUUUGAAGGGUCUGGUUUUAGAGCUGAGCUUGAUACUCCAGUUUAAUACCCUGGUAUUGGAUCUUUAACUCAAUCAAAUUGGAGUUUAUAAGGUAAAGUUUGCAUUUCCAAUUUGGUUAAAUUAAGCUUUAGUACUGAAAUUGGUGCUAAGUGAUGGAUUUCUAUGUAUAGAGCUUGGAGAUAGCUUGAUUACUAGUCUUGGAAGAGUUUGGUUGAUCCAGCAGGGGUUAAUAUUGGUUCGAGGCCUCUUCGCUACCAGGGAUUUAGCUUUAGAGGUGGGUUUAUCAUCGGAUUUCUACACCUAAGAUCUCGUUGGUCAACAUGUGUAGUUUGGGUUUACAAGUUAUUAUUGUUCUAGCUCAAAUUCUUGGAUUAUGCAUGCUUAUGACAUAUAUACUGAAUUUGGAGCAUAGUAUUAACUAUUAAUAAUUAUACAUGUGGGACUUGAAUUUGACUUAGGAGAAAAUCUGCGAUUUGAACCUGUCAUAUGCUUAAACUAGCUGAUUUAGCUCUAUGAGCCGUUGUAAUUUUGUAUCGUCGCAGUAUCGAUGUGACGGAUACCCCAGGUAGUUUAGAUUUCAGUUACGCUCGUGCUGGGAUGCCAGGUAUAUUUUUACUAUAUCGUUCAAACUGCUCCGGACUGUUGGGUGCCGUCAGAGUUGACGGUGGUCCCAUAUCGCCGUUUUGGCGUCAGCUUUGCCGAGGGCACGUGACCUGUUGGUUGUUAGACUAGUUGGACCCUAUUACUUGACUUUGGCUUGUGAGAGCCUGAUUGAGCUCGACAGAGAUACGCUGCAUACUCGGUUGGGUAGCUCCCACGAGUGCCACUCCUGAGACGGGCGCUGUGCUUUCGCGUUCGUGUCGUUCAUGCCGGUUGGACUUGCUGUCCACAGACUGGUUAGCAUGGAGGUAGCUGGAUAGUCUCAACUGCGCGGGACGGGUGUAUUCACAGUCCUUGGGACGGGUAUGUUUAUAGUCCCUAAAGAGAUUGGGUCAGGAUUGACAUUUCUACAGUAGGUUGGUUUAGAGCAUGAUAGUGUAUUAACUCGUAGUUGUAGAUUUUAUUCCAGCAUUUAUUACUAUCUUCACUCCCUUCUGUAGACUUAGUCGGUGGACCAAUGAUGUUGAGGGCGGCACCCACUGAGGACUACUUGUUUUUACAGUAGUUCUCACGCCCUGUUGUUACCCCGUUUUUGCAGAGCCAUCGUCUUCGGCUGCUGCGGUUGCUGAUCAGGAUCAAGGCAAGGGCGUCGCGAGUUAGAGCCCUACCAGACGAGCCGAGCUAGAGGUGCCCCUACAAUAGGUAGUUGUUUUUGUUGGAGUUCAUGUACAUACUGACGUUUAACUCGCCAGUGCGAGUAGUUUUGUAUCUGGGACUUGGCGUAUGUAUAUGGAACUCGGUUUGUUUUUGUUACUGGUUCUCCUAGCAGCUCUAUACUACUGUUUGUAGUAUUGUAUGUUUUACAGGUACAGCUAUCGCUUCGUAUACAGGAAAAAGUCCUUUGUAUACGGCUGUCACGCCCGGGGUCCCUUUCAGGUUAAAACACAGCGAAAUUUUUUUUUUUUUUGAAAACCUGACCCCAGGGUAUGCCAGAUCCGCUACAAAAUACAGGAAAUCCACUGUUCACACGGACAGAGUCUCCCCUGUAUUUGCACGGCGUCGCACAAGUACAAAAGUAUAACAAAGAUACAACCACCAUAAUGAAUAAACAACAAUUAACAUUCAUUCACCAUUCACCACAGAUUUACCAUUUAGAGUUUAAUUUAUAAAUCCACGACUAUUAGUUUAAAACAUUUUCCACCCGGAAACUUAUUUUGAAACACCAAGAGUUGAAAAGUCGAUAAAACCAUCACUGAGCGUGCACCACUGUACCACUGUACAAAACUGGGUCGAAAGCUCUAGCGACCACUACGAACGUGUCUCACAUCUCGUCUCAACCCUCACCGCCUGCAAUAUCUAAAAAAUGGUAGGGGAGGUGAGAACAUGUAAACAUGUCUCCCCUCCUAGUGGGUACCGCAAGCCGACGAAGGCGAGGAGUACUCACCGGAUCAGGAAGAGAUAAACAACAGUAUGGGUAAGUGAAAUACAGUAGCAACGAUAAUGAACGAAUGAGAUAUAUAUAUAUAUAUAUAUAUAUAUAUAUAUAUAUAUAUAUAUAUAUAUAUAUAUGAAAACACAACUACCGCUACUGUAAAGGAGAACUGAAUGCAUACAUGGAUAUCAACUAUAGUAGCAAGACAACUGUAAAGAAGAACUGUAAGUAUGCAAGCAACAAUCGCUACUAUAGUCAUAUGCGUCAACCAGACGACAAGUCCAAAAAUACCCAAUCUGAAAACUGCCCUAUUUGUCAGCAGACCUCAGGCCCUUGCCCACUGCCACUCUGACCGCUGGGCACCCAGUUCUGACCGCUGGGCUCAUAGGCUGCAUAUAACCUAGUCCUGACCGCUGGGCUCACGGGCUGGCACAUCCAUCCACUUUUUCGAAAGAGAACACCCUCUUGCGGUGGAUCAGACCGCUGGUGAUCGUGAAAUGCGAACGAGUCUCGGGCGAUCAAUGCUUAUAUGCUCAAUGGCCAACCGUCGGCAACCAGCCGACAAUCACUGCCUCUCGAGGCUAACCGACCAAUCGGUCAUCAAACUGUAAUGAAGCACAAGAAUAGACCACUCAGGUCAACUAGGAUGGAAUGAAUCUACAUCCUCUCAAAAGUAUGGAAAUACUGUUCGAUGGGUCAACUAAAGUAUAGAUGUAAGAACCAACCAAUAGAUCACAGGAAUGCAUCACUAUAAUCUGGAACCACCAUCAGCCCCUAGCCGACAAUCCUACCCCUCAGGGUACACCGACCUCAACGGUCAUCGGACAACAAAAGUCAAAGACUAAACAUAAAUAAUCGUGCAUCAUGCCAGCGAACACAACUCCUCACGUCGAAAUAAUUAUCGUCGGAUAAUCAUUUCGAUCCGGGUUCCCGGAAGUGUCUAAUUCGACACCGGAACCCACUGUCGCUCACCCGUCAUUUCUGAACUCUCGAAAUGACCCGAGUGACCAGCCAACAAGGCUCAGAGACUACACAAUAGCUCACGAAGCACCGUCGGAAUAAUUCCGAACCGAACCCGCAUUUCGUCGGCGAAUUUUGCCGAGAAACGCGCUGGAAAUCACUUUCUGAUUCCCGCAAAGGCUUGGGGCCUUGGACGAUCAGUCCAGAGGUUAUCCUCAGCCCAUACUUGCUGCCAACAGCAGCCACGACAAACAAAGUUGCAUAAAAGCCCUUCCGAUUACCCGAAAUCACAUUAUUUUAUGUGAUUUCGGCGCUUUUAUGGUUCGUCUACACAAACCAGAAGUCAUUCAGCCAAACCGAGACACCUACUAACAGGUAUCGGCGUGCCGGGGACCGUGCUCACCUUUUGGAGCACUGCCGGCCACUGUGGCACGUGCACGAGCGAUGCGAAAAUCAGUGAAACAGCACCCCCAUCAGGAAAAGCAUGCUUAUCUCGCUAACCAGGGGCUUGUUGACCCUAAGUGAGGUGAGCACUGUGAUCAGGACUGACAGAUGAUCACCGUGCUCACCACCGGAGGCAUUGGAACAGCCUCGGGUCGCCGAAACAGUGACCAGAACAGGAAACUAUGAGUAGAAACGCUGAAAUCAAGCUUAACGGCCAGGGGAGAGCUAGGGCUGGCCGGCGGCCGCCGAACGACGGGAGCGCCAGCGGAAGGAGGGUUCAGGCGAUGCAGGGAAGCCAGGGGAUACGUUGGCCGGCGUCGGAAGUCGUCGGCGACGACGGCAUUUGAUGCCUUAGGCACCCAAACCCGAGGAGGACAUAGCCCAGAUCUGACCGACAGGGAGCUCCGGCGACGGCGGCGCCAGCGGUGGGCGAGUGCCGCCGACUAGGCAGAGCUGGUGCUCAUGCCGGCCAGCGGCGGAAGGUGGCUGCGGCGGUGCUGGAGCAUCCCUAGCCCGCGCCGAUUCAGCUCGAGCUUAGAGGGUAACGGCGGCCAUGGAGGUGGCCGGAGGAGGGUCAGGGCAACGGCGGCACAUCGUCGGAGGCCGAGGGAGUGCGGCUCGCCUUGCUGCGAGCGGCGGCGACAUGCGGUGGCCGAGAUAGCUAGGUCUCGGCCCGCUUAAGGUCUGGGCGGCUGCAGAGAGGGAGAGCGGCGGCCGGCGGCAUCGGGAACGACGGCGAUGGCGCGCGGUGGCACGCCGAGGAGUUCGAGGAGGGUGGUGCUUCCAAUCCCGAGCGACAGCAACACGAGGAGGAGAUCCCACAACCUCGACCAAAUCUGCUUAGAUCUGGCCGCAGCUAACCAGGGCGGCGGCGGCGGCGCUCGGGGGCGACAGGGACGGCGUCGAGGUUAGGAUUGCAGCCAGGGAAGAGGCCCGAGGCUUGUGGAUCUCUCCCUGUAGUCGACGAUAGAGAUGAAGGGUGAUCUAUGGUGGUUUGGUAGAGAAGAUAGUGGAGGAGAGGCCGAACCCAGAUUUUCCGGCGGCCGGGGUACCUGCCGGCGGCCGGGGUGCGCGCGCGGGGCACGGGUAUGGUGAUGCUAGGAAUGGCAGAGGGGUCGGCUAAGGGAGACGGCCUCUAGGGUUAGGGUUUUCUCUAUGAAACCCUAAAGUCUUCAAUAUAAACAAAGUGCAAAAUUGCAAGAAAGUCCUCCGAAGCUACAAAUUUCAAACCCAGUCCUUCACAAUGGGUAACUCUCGCGCAUUCGCACCUCCACAAUCGAUCUCGCGCGAUUCGGUACAUAAAAUAUGGAGGUUUGCGCAAAAAUACCAUUUUGCCACUAAACACCCCUCCUCGAUCAACGUGUGACAUCUAGCGAUCCGUCCAUCAGAUUUGCGAACGGAGACAAUAAACCUACCAUUUCGUUUCGCCACGAUCGGUCAUGGAUUCGCGAUGAAACCCGUUCACUCUCUCCAAAAGACAAGUGACACACAAAUACAUAUAAAACAUGUAUUUUUCGAUUUUCUCGAAAUUUGUGCUUCAAACCCAAAAUCCGUCAACGCCAAUGGUUCUAAAAUAGCUGAACCGUUCGAAACAAGCUAUUGGACUGGUAUGAAAGGAGUCCGAUACGCGACAGAAGCCAACUCUACUCCGUGGCUUCUCCGAAAAACCAGAGUUACUAUUCACUUAAGUGAAUAGUAUUUAUCGCGUAACUUCUCCAUUCUAACUCGUUUUCUCCUGAAACUUGACGAGUGCUUAUGUAAUUAAAUUACACACAAAAACAUCAUUAACAGAGAGUUUAGCUAUACUGCCAAAAUCUCAAUCCUCACAUCAUCCCCCCCUUAAAAGAAGUUUCGUCCCCGAAACUUGACCUCGUACCUACCGCAAUCGAAUUCCGACAUUGCUCCAACAAUGCGGUAUCACCUUUGGGUACUGAUCAGUCAUUUUCAUUUGGACACAUCGAUCUCUAAAGAAGGAAAACAAUAGGACUACGGUUCCACUCGGACAAGACGAAGGAAAAUAUCCCAACCUAAAAUCUACGGACCAAAACUCACCGGGAUCAACACCAUCCUAUAACCUGCGAACAAAGACAGUCCCGCGACCAGGAUUAUUAGAUCCCAAAUUACCAACUCCGAGAUAAAAAAUUCUCCACUCAGAAACUCUAGAUACACUCUACCUUGAUCCGCAUACCAGUAACCGACUCGACUACGUCGAAGGUUCACGUAGAAGAGAUACGAGUCAACACCACAAGUUUGGAGUGUAUUUUCAUAGGCCGAAAAGACACACUCUGACUAGCCAACAACGUCAACCUGUUCACCACGAGCGAAUACGAAAUAUUGUUCUAAGACCUGAGUCAAAACUCUCACCUUGGAGAUCACAGUCUCCCACCAGUAAUCACACGAACUGCCAAAACCUCCAUCAACGGAAAGUCACCUGUGACAAUCUAUAGCCCUAGGUCCAAGACCCCACUUACCACCUGACCAAAAGGUCCAACUGACAAUACCAAUUGAGCUAGACAAUUUUGUUUCCUCAAACUUAAUCCGGUACCAAUAGACCACCAAAAGCUCAUUGCAAGUCCAUCACUUGAUGCACAGUUCGCCAAUCGCAACUGUGAUAAUAACCAUCGGCGAUGCUCAACAUCUGUCUCCACGAGACCCUGUCGCUGCCAUCCUAAAAAGGAUCCUAGCGAUCGGUGUUCCGAGCAACGCCAAAUACCUAUCUCAUUGAGACUCCGGCGCACUUGUCACCAAUUAACAGGACAAGCAUACCAUUCCAAGGUUGCACGCUAAGCCGAGUCACAACCUUAUACGCUAUCACAUACGGUGACAAUCAAAGCCAACAACCAGGUUCAAGUCGCUCCACAAUGUGCUUCAGAACCUCCUGGCAAACAGGCCGAGACUACUAACCAAAUAAACCUUUUAGUUGUAACAGGUACAACUAAAGAGCUAACAAGUACCCAGACUUGAACCAAGGUCAAAACCAUCAGCAGUGACGAUAAGUCAACUGCACAAAACCUGCCAGGGAAUAAUCCAAGGCUUGCUACAUGGUCAAAGAUGACCAUCACUUAAGCUUUCUCAUAAGACAAGCUAGAGCGAAUACCGACCCAAUCCAAAAGUCCCCAAGCAGGGAAUGGGUAUUUCGUCCCACUUUCGACAGUACAUUGUCUGCUGCCAAUGUACUUAUCAAAAGAAAGCGAAAUAUCCGAGAUCCACUACCAACAAUAAGUUGGAAGCGCGACACGUCAAAGUAUCAAGUUACCUGAUACCUCUUCACUGAACCAAGAGUUCACAACCAUUACUAUCGAAACAUCGACUUUACUAGUCGACAUUCGAAAUCAGAAUGACCCUGAACCGACUCACAGGGAGUCCUAAAACUUUCAACAUCCGAAAGCUGCUAGCGACACUAAGCCGCGAACCAUACCAGCUGAGGCUUUAGGAAACGGUUUCUCUAACCGAUUUUCGCGCAACAACCGAGCUAUAAUCAAAGCUUCGAGAAUUCCGACAAUAACUAGGAGUCUCUCGAAUUAAGACGAAACCUAUCACCAAGUACAAACUAACACAUAACACACCAAUUUAGGUGUUAGUAUAACCGCAUAUGAUGUAUGCCUCGACGAAAACCUGACACAAAAACUGUGUCAAUCCGACUCUAGUACACGUCAAUUUGACGAAAGAACUAGUUCAAGGUCAAAAGACCCAAACUGCUGAUUCCAAUCAGCAAUCGAGGGAAGGUAGGCAUUGCAACCCUACCCAAAGAUCUGCGGAAGCAACGCUAACAAUGUAGUCGCCUAAACGACCGCUAUCCAAACCCUAGGCUACACCCUAGUAACCCCACUAAAGUCGCGACCGUAAUUGGUCUAAGUACCGUCUCCGUAGAGACACUCGUAGUAGCUCUCGUGCCCUCAGUAGGAAGAGUAGCCUGGGUGUCGGCAGUUAAGACACUCGCCUAGGCUGAAGAUCACCUGGCCCUUCAAGGCCUCACCUGACAGGAGUAGCAAUACCUGGGGAACGCCGCCCCACCACUCAAUGUCCAAAAAGAAGCACCGCCACUACUCCCGACUGAGACACCAGCUUGUGCGAAAAUUGUAGUACAUAAGGAAAUAUCCGUGCAUUCGAGUUUACCAAUCUCGACAUGCACACCGGGACUCAAGCCCAAACCCCGCACUCAUGUGCCUAUAUACCGUAGGUCUUCCUAUAGGUCAACCUAACCAAUGGUUUAGUUUUAUUUACUUUUCAAAACAACCUGUGAAUGGUGUUGUGGUUGCAACUUGUCUCUGAUACCACUUUAAUCUGUCACGCCCCGAGAUCUCUUUUAGGUUAAAACACAACGAUUUUUUUUUUUUUUUUUGAAAACUUGACCCCAGGGUAUGCCAGAUCCAUCACAAAUAUAGGGAAUCCACUGUUCACACGGACAGAGUCUCCCCUAUAUUUGCACGGCGUCACACAAGUACAAGAGUAUAACCAUAAUACAACCACCAUAAUGAAUAAACAACAAUUAACAUUCAUUCACCAUUCACCACAGAUUUACCAUUCAGAGUUCAAUUUAUAAAUUCACGACUAUUAGUUUAAAACGUUUCCCACCCGGAAACUCAUUUUGAAACACCAAGAGUUGAAAAGCCAAUAAAACCUUUUUAAGACCAUUUCCUACACGAAAGCCUUUUCUUUUUAAAGCACGCUACCACGAGGGGUAGAAAAUUAUUUCCAGUUUACAAAAUUAUAUAUCCUUUAUUUUUCAUGAAACCACGUAUUUUAAUUAACUUCACAAAACCAUGUUUAUAUAUAUCCAAGUAAACAAAACCAACUGAACCAUAUGUCUAAGAUAUGUCAACAGAAAUAAAGAGGGUAAUAGCUAAACUGAACAAACCAGGUCGAAAGCUCUAGCGACCACUACGAACGUGUCUCACGUCUCGUCUCAACCCUCACCGCCUGCAAUACCUGAAAAUGGUGGGGGAGGUGAGAACAUAUAAACAUGUCUCCACUCUCAGUGGGUACCGCAAGCCGACGAAGGCGAGGAGUACUCACCGGAUCAGGAAGAGAUAAACAACAGUAUGGGUAAAUGAAAUACAGUAGCAACCAUAAUGAACGAAUGAGAUAUAUAUAUAUAUAUAUAUAUAUAUAUAUAUAUAUAUAUAUAUAUAUAUAUAUACACACAUCCAAACCAAGGCCAAAUUAAAAAUAACCCCACCAAGGAAAUAAGAAAAAGGUGAACACACAUCUCACCUCAAUGUGUAACACUUCCCCCUCCCCUCCUUUCUCCUCCACCCAAAAAUCCCANGCAUACAUGGAUAUCAACUAUAGUAGCAAGACAACAGUAAAGAAGAACUGUAAGUAUGCAAGCAACAAUCGCUACUAUAGUCAUAUGCGUCAACUAGACGACAAGUCCAAAAAUACCCAAUCUGAAAACUGCCCUUUUAGUCCGCAGACCUCAGGCCCUUGCCCACUACCACUCUACCUGUAUAUAACCCAGUUCUGACCGCUGGGCACCCAGUUCUGACCGCUGGGCUCAUAGGCUGCAUAUAACCCAGUCCUGACCGCUGGGCUCACUCAAAAGUAUGGAAAUACUGCUCGAUGGGUCAACUAAAAUAUAGGUGCAAGAACCAACCAAUAGAUCACAAGAAUGCAUCACUAUAAUCUGGAACCACCGUCAGCCCCUAGCCGACAAUCCUACCCCUCAGGGUACACCGACCUCAACGGUCAUCGGACAACAGAAGUCAAAGAAUCGACCAACCAGGUCACUGAUACGAAGUACAAGAAACCACCAACCGGGUCAACAAUGCGAAGUACAAGAAUCGACCAACUAGGUCACUAAUACGAAGUACAAGAAACCACCAACCAGGUCACCAAUACGAAGUACGAGAAUAGACCAACCUGGUCACUAAUACAAAGUACGAGAAUCGAUCGGUCAUAGGCAUCACAAAUAGAUAGAUUACUCUACUCCUACACCUGAUACUAAGCAUGGGAACAUUUGAGUAGAGUAUAAUGUAAAUAAUAGAGGUGCAAAGCUCAACAUAUAAUAUAUGCAUGGAUAAUAACAAAAGAGCAAGGGUAAGAAACCAUCACCGAGCGUGCACCACUGUACCAACGUCGGAUCGAAGUACCCACCUGUACGAAUGUCGUGCCUGUCUCCUGACUGCGAAAGAAAGUCAACCGAACCUAAGGAAGGUCCACCGGGUUAGUGUCUAACCCACAACUAAUAACCACUAAAUCCACAACCCACAAACAAACCCACGGAGAUCGGUUUCGCAAACCAAUCGCCGUAAUACGCCGGAAGUCCCGUAAUCGCACGGGGGCUCCGCCGGGACCCACGAACUGUCCCGAAACAUACCGACUCGAGCUACGAGUCACAUGCUGCCACUAAACAUAAAUAAUCGUGCAUCAUGGCAGCAAACACAACUCCUCACGUCGAAAUAAUUAUUGUCGGAUAAUCAUUUCGAUCCGGGUUCCCGGAAGUGUCUAAUUCGACACCGGAACCCACUGUCGUUCACCCGUCAUUUCUAAACUCUCGAAAUGACCCGAGUGACCAGCCAACAAGGCUCAGCGACUACACAAUAGCUCACGAAGCACCGUCGAAAUAAUUCCGAACCGAACCCGCAUUUCGUCGGAGGAUUUCGCCAAGAAACGCGCCGGAAAUCACUUUCUAAUUCCCGCAAAGGCUUGGGGCUUUGGACAAUCAGUCCAGAGGUUAUCCUCAAACCAUACUUGCUGCCAACAGCAGCCACGAUGAACAAAGUUGCAUAAAAGCCCUUCCGAUUAACCGAAAUCACAUUAUUUUAUGUGAUUUUGGCGCUUUUAUGGUCCGUCUACACAAACUAGAAGUCCUUCAGCCAAACCGAGACACCUACUGACAGGUAUCGGCGUGCCGGAGACCGUGCUCACCUUUCGGAGCACUGCCGGCCACUGUGGCACGCGCACGAGCGAUGCGAAAAUCAGUGAAACAGCGUGCACAGCAGGAAAAGCAUGCUUAUCUCGCUAACCAGGGGCUCGUUGACACUAAAUAAGGUGAGCACUGUGAUCAGGACUGACAGAUGAUCACCGUGCUCACCACCGGAGGCAUCGAAACAGCCUCGGGUCACCGGAACAGUGACCAGAACAGGAAACUAUGAGCAGAAACGCUGAAAUCGAGCUUACCGGCCAGGGGAGAGCUAGGGCUGGCCGGCGGCGGCCGGACGACGGGAGCGCCAGCGCAAGGAGGGUUCAGGCGAUACAGCGAAGCCAGGGGAUGUGUUGGCCGGCGUCGGAAGGCGUCGGCGACGACGACAUUUGAUGCCCUAGGCACCCAAACCCAAGGAGGACACGGCCCAGAUCCGGCCAACUGGGAGCUCCGGUGACGAGGGCGCCAGCGGUGGGCGAGUGCGGCCGGCCAGGCGGAGCCGGUGCUCAUGCCGGCCAGCGGCGGAAGGUGGCUGCGGCAGUGCUGGAGCAUCCCUAGCCCGCGUGGGUUCAGCUCGAGGUUAAAGGGUAGCGACGGCCAUGGCAGUGGCCGGAGGAGGGUCAGGGCAACGGCGGCACGUCGUCGGAGGCUGAGGGAGGAUGGCUCGCCUUGCUGUGGGCGGUGGCGACAUGCGGUGGCCGAGAUAGCUAGGUCUCGGCCUGCUCAAGGUCUGGGCGGCCGCAGAGAGGGAGAGCGGCGGCCGGCAGCAUCGGGAGCGACGGCGAUGGCACGCGAGGGCACGCCGAGGAGUUCGAGGAGGGUGGUGCUUCCAAUCCCGAGAAACAGCAACACAAGGAGGAGAUCCCACAACCUCGGCCAGAUCUACAUAGAUCUGGCCGCAGCUAACCAGGGCGGCGGCGGCGGCGCUCGGGGGCGACAGGGACGGCGCCGGGGUUAGGAUUGCAGCCAGGGAAGAGGCCCGAGGCUUGUGGAUCUCUCUCUGAGGUUGACGGCAGAGAUGAAGGGUGAUCUAUGGUGGUUUGGUAGAGAAGAUGGUGGAGGAGAGGCCGAACCCAGAUUUUCCGGCGGCCGGGGCACCUGCCGGCGGCCGGGGUGCGCGCACGGCACGGGUAUGGUGAUGCUGGGAAUGGCAGAGGGGUCGGCUUAGAGAGAAGGCCUCUAGGGUUAGGGUUUUCUCUAUGAAACCCUAAUGUUUUCAAUAUAAACAAAGUGCAAAAUUGCAAGAAAGUCCUCCGAAGCUACAAAUUUCAAACCCAGUCCUUCACAGUGGGUAACUCUCGCGCAUUCGCACCUCCACAAUCGAUCUCGCGUGAUUCGGUACAUAAAAUAUGGAGAUUUUCGCAAAAAUACCGUUUUGCCACUAAACACCCCUCCUCGAUCAACGUGUGACAUCUAGCGAUCUGUCCGUCAGAUUUGCGAACGGAUCGCACUAGUGGGAUCAGCACAACGGAGACAAUAAACCUACCAUUUCGUUUCGCCACGAUCGGUCACGGAUUCACGAUAACACCUGUUCACUCUCUCCAACAGACAAGUGACACACAAAUACAUAUAAAACAUGUAUUUUCUAAUUUUCUUGAAAUCUGUGCUUCAAACCCAAAAUUCGUCAACGCUAAUGGUUCCAGAAUAACUGAACCGUUCGAAACGAGCUAUUGGACUGCUAUGAAAGGAGUCCGAUAUGCGGCAGAAGCCAACUCUACUCCGUGGCUUCUCCGAAAAACCGGAGUUACUAUUCACUUAAGUGAAUAGUAUUUAUCGCGUAACUUCUCCAUUCUAACUCGUUUUCUUCUGAAACUUAUCGAGUGCUUAUGUAAUUAAAUUACACACAAAAACAUCGUCAACAGAGAGUUUAGCUAUACUGCCAAAAUCUCAGUCCUCACAACGGCGGAUUUGUCGGCGUGCCCGGGGAACGUGUAAUCCGGGGCGUGACAGAUUAAGUUGGUAUCAGAGCUUAGCUGUAGGUCGUUGGGACCUAGGAACCCUACGUUUGGCAAACCUUAGGAAGGCAAGACGCGAGAGGCGUAAUUUAUUACGAAAGUCAGUGAUUAAUUGUUCUAACUACUCCUAGAGUGGGGUGAGUGAUUGAAGGAGUGUCUGUUUUGGCCUGAGAAAUUAUAUUGGCUGCAGACGACAUAAUUUUGGAGGAAAACAGGGGCCGCCUUCCAAACUUUCGUUGAUUAGGUCGAGAGUGUUUGUAUUUCAUCUGACCCUGUUUCGUUUGUUGCAGCUAUAGCGAUGUAUCGUCGCUGAGGUCGACCGUCAUUGCGGGAGCGUGCCCAGUUGACGCAGGAUCGUGCGGGACCUUUCGAGAUGCCAGAGCAGACAGAGCGGAGUACCCGACCGGAGACGAGCGCACCCCCUGUAGCGGAGCCGAGUGCGCGACCUGAGGCUAGCGUAUCCUAUGAUCUCAGCGCACAGUUAGCUGCCUUGACUGAGGUGACGAGGCGGCAGGGGGAGUUAUUGGAGAGGAUGUGCAAGAGGUUAGCUUCGCCCCAGAGUGUAGCACCGAGGGCACCAGAGUCGCCUGUUCCACCUCCGACUACCCCAGUGACAGCGCCAACUGCAGCAGUUCCUCCGUCGGCAGCAGUUCCAGUAGCGCCAGUUGCGCCUGCUAGGGGGCCAGUACAGUUGACAGAGGCCGAGCAUAAGUGGUUGACGGAGAGGUCUGCUAGUUUUCGCCGUUUUGAUCCACUGACCUUCGAUGGCAGUUGCACUGAGGCCUGGGUUGUUGAGGGAUGGGUCAGUGCGAUGGAGAAGCUAUUUGAGGAUCUGUUCAUUCCUGAGUGGGAGCAGAUAUCUUUGGGAGUCCAUUGCUUUGCAGGCGAUGCACAUGCCUGGUGGAGGAGAGUGAAACGAGAUCAGGGACUGGUAGCGUUGCAGCUGAGAUGGGAUGAGUUCUGUGGAAUGCUGUUUGGGAUGUAUUUUUCUAACAGUGUGAAACAGAAGCUCGAGGAGGAUUUGAAGAGGAUUCAGCAGGGGGAUCGGCUAGUGCAGGAAUACAUUCGGGAGUUUACUCGACUCCUGAACUGUGUGCCGUUUGUGGCCAGGGACGAGGCACACAGGGUUUAUCUGUUUGAGUUCGGGCUGAGACCCGACAUCUUCAGGUUGGUGCAGGCGCAGAGGUCGAGAACCCUGGAUGCGUCCAUAGAACAGGCCUUAUGGGUGGAGAGAGGCGAGGUGUCGCUGCAAAAGAGAACUCAGGCGGUGGGGCCGAGUCAGAACAGGAAGUGCCCCUUUUUAGAUGAUGCUCGACAGUCGAGCAGCAGGCGUCCGCCAAGACCUCCACGAUCACGCUCUCAGGAUCGUGGGUCUUCAGGGCGUCAGCGUUCCAGAGGAUCCCGUCAGCAGGGACAGACUAAGAGGACACCGCAGUGUGUGAUUGCAGGGGGCCCUAUUGGCCCCGGCAGUGCGAGCAGAGAGAGGGCAAGUGUUACAGUUGCGGUCAACCCGGGCAUAUGAGAUCAGCUUGUCCUCGAGCAGCAUCACCAGCACCAUCAUCGUAUCAGCACAGCCAGGACCUCCGCAGUCUUUUGGAGCAGCUCCGAGUUUCCGCCAGGAGAACAGAUCGUCUGUGCCGCGUCAGGGCGAGCGCCGACAGCAGUCUCCGAGCGACAGGGUCUAUGCAGCCCAAGUGGAGAACUCUUCAGCAGCUAACCGAGUGGUGGCAGGUAUUAUUUUGAUUUCUGGCAUUAGAGCUCGUACCCUUUUUGAUACCAGUGCCUCGCAUUUUUUUGUUAGCCGAGCAUUUGCAUUGUUGCAUGGUCUAGAGUUAGGAGUAUUGUCACAGGCACGAGAGGUGCAGAUCCCAAACCAUGUUUUACAGGUUGCAGAGUGUUGUUGGUCAUGUCCGGUACAGUUAGAUUCGUGGAUCAUGCCCGCAGACCUGUUGGUGCUAGGGCAGCUGCAGGACUUCGACGUUAUGCUCGGUAUAGACUGGCUGGCGCGGUACUAUGCUACAAUCGAUUGUGGAGCGAGGACAGUGACGUUUCGCUAGCCAGGCCAGGAGGAGUUUACUUUUAGAGGCUGCAGGUGUAUACUGUUUGCCACUUAGAUAUCUUCGGCGAGGGCUUGACAGAUGAUGAGUAGAGGGUGUGUGGCAUUUCUGGCAACUAUUGUUGAGGUAUCUAAGGUAGCACCGGUGGUUGGAGUUACUGAAAAACUAUGACAUUAGUAUUCAGUAUCAUACCGGCAAGGCGAACGUGGUGGCAGAUGCGUUGAGCAGGAAGGCAGUGCAGAGCUUGAACUUAUUGAUUACUGAGCAGAGGCCGUUAUUCGAGGAGCUACAGCAGUUGAGGCUCGAGAUAGUGUCCCCUGAAUCUACUGCGAGACUGAUGUCUCUGGUCUUGCAGCCCACUCUGUUGGAUAGGAUCCGAGAGAAACGGAGUUGAGAUUCGUACUUGUCGAGGAUUCGAGAGCAGCUACAUAGGGGACAGGCUGAGGGUUUUGCUUUAGACAGUUCGGGAGUACUACGGUACAGGGACCGACUAUGUGUGCCUGGGGAUACAGAGAUUCGAGAGGAUAUUUUGAGAGAGGCUCAUUAUUCACCUUAUACGGUUCACCCUGGGGGAACCAAGAUGUAUAAGGAUUUAAAGACACAGUUCUGGUGGAAUGGAAUGAAGAAAGACAUUAGCAGAUUUGUAGCUCAGUGUUUGACUUGCCAACAGGUGAAAGCCGAGCAUCAGGUAUCUACUGGCAAGCUUCAGAGUCUGCCAGUGCCUGAGUGGAAAUAGGAGCAAAUCACGAUGGAUUUUGUCGUGGGAUUGCCUAGAGCACAGGGUGGCUAUAAUGCGAUUUGGGUUAUAGUGGACAAACUGACCAAGUCUGCUUACUUCUUACCUGUUCAAACCACCUGGUUCAGAGAGAGACUCGUGCAACUAUAUCUGGAUGAGAUUGUUAGGUUGCAUGGCGUGCUGAUUUCGAUCGUAUCUGAUAGGGAUCCGAGGUUUGUAUCACACUUCUGGAGGAGUUUGCAGGCAGCCUUAGGUACACAGUUACAGUUCAGCACAGCGUUUCACCCACAGACAGAUGGUCAGUCAGAGCGAACUAUUCACACUCUAGAGGACAUGCUGAGAGCAUGCAUCCUGGACUUUGGAGGAGGGUGGUAUCGACAUUUGAGACUGGCUCAGUUUGCAUACAACUACAGCUAUCAAGCGAGCAUCCAGAUGGCUCCGUUUGAGGCGUUGUAUGGUCGCAAAUGUCGAUCCCCUUUGCGUUGGAGUGAGGUGGGUGAAAGGAAGACGCUUGGACCUGAGGUUUUACUAGAGGCUGAGGAAAAGGUGAGAGUUGUUCGACGACACCUUUUGACAGCCCAGAGCCGCCAGAGGAGCUACGCCGAUACUAGGAGACGAGACUUAGAGUUCCAGGUUGGAGAUCAUGUUUUUCAUAAAGUCUCGCCAUCCAGAGGGAUUCGUAGAUUCGAAAUACGUGAAAAGCUCAAUCCACGUUUCGUUUGCCCUUUUGAGGUAUUGGAGCGAGUUGGACCAGUUGCUUAUAGGAUUGCUCUACCUCCCCGACUGACCGGUAUCAACGAUGUUUUCUACGUCUCGGCAUUGAGGAGAUACAUGUUCGAUCCUUCUCACGUGAUCGACUUCACUCUACUAGAGAUUGGCGAGGAUCUGAGAUACGAGGAGUGACCAUUGCGUAUUCUUGCUCGGGAGAUGAAAGAAUUGCCCAAUCGGGUCAUUCUGUAUGUAAAAGUGUAGUGGAGUAAUCACGAGGAGCGGGAGGCAACCUGGAAGCCAGAGACCGUGAUGAGGGAAUCCUAUCCCUAUUUGUUUGAUACUUGAGCUGAGAUAUACUUAAGUUUCGAGGACGAAACUUUUUGUAGUGGGGGAAGGUGUAGUAUCCCUGGUGUUCAGCUUUUGAGGCUUGUCGACACGCCGUUAGGGUGUCGGGACAAGUCCGAGUCUCGUUGGCGCGAAAUAGACGCAAAACAGACUCAGCGGAGACGCGAGAGCAAGAGUUAGCAUCGAAAUCUGCGAAAUUGCAGAUUUUCUGCUUGUUGUACCAGUACAACAUCAGGGUUGUACCGGUACACUUACUGUACCGGUACAGCAUCGGAGGUGUACCGGUACACUUCGCACGAUUGGCGAGCAGCUGCUCUCGGGUUGCCCAUGUGUACUGGUACACUUUGGUAGGUGAGAGGGUAAUUUAGUCUUUUUCACCUUAUUUGUACCACCACCCCUUCCCCCUCAGCCUAUACUGAGGAGAGGAGUUGAGAGAGAGGUUUUAUUGGUUUCUUCUCCUCUCUCUCUCUCUAGACCUGAUCGUGAGCAAGGAGGAACCGGGUGGGGUUCGGGUGUUGUCGACGUCGCGCCGCGGUGCCGUUCGAGCAUGUAUUCGUCGUCGUGAUGCUGCCAGGAGGCUUGAUGAGCGUGGAUUUUCACCAUCAUCGACAUUGUGACAUUUCUUGAGGGGUUUUCGAGGUGAGUGAUCCAUCGAAAUCACUUUAUUUACUUCAAGUUCCAUCAAUUUCGAGCUAGGGUGCUAUUCCUGCAGAAUUCCAGCGUCGACCAUCGGUGUUUCGGCUCGUACGCGACGUAGGAGUAUUAGAUUGCGACGAAACUUGGUUCAUUGGAUUCAGAAUUUCGAGAGGAAUCCACGAAGUCCAAGAUUUUUGAUUUUGGUGAAGGUUAGCUUGGUCGAACUCCAAUUCUUCUCUGCUGUUGUUGUAUUGAGCGGAUUUUUGAGUUUUUGAGUUUCUCUUGGUGUAAUUCUUUGAAGGGUCUGGUUUUAGAGCUAAGCUUGAUACUCCAGUUUAAUACCCUGGUAUUGGAUCUUUAACUCAACCAAAUUGGAGUUUACAAGGUAAAGUUUGCAUUUUCAAUUUGAUUAAGAUUAAGCUUAAGUGCUGAAAUUGGUGCUAAGUGAUGGAUUUCCAUGUAUAGAGCUUGGAGAUAGCUUGAUUACUAGUCUUGGAAGAGUUCAGUUGAUCCAGCAGGGAUUAGAAUUGGUUCGAGGCCUCUUCGCUGCCAGAGAUUUAGCUUUAGAGGUGGGUUUAUCAUCGGAUUUCUACUCCUAAGAUCUCGUUGGUCAACAUGUGUAGUUUGGGUUUACACAUUAUUAUUGUUCUAGCUCAAAUUCUUAGAUUAUGCAUGCUUAUUGUCACGCCCCGAAACCGCUACCAAUUUGGUCCGGUUCGGGCGCGUCGAACAGGCGCCGAACGGACAGCACCUCUCCUGCACGCCCAAGGCCAAACAACCAGAUCAUAUACAGUUAAGCGCCCAGGGAAUGCUUAAAUAACAUACAUGAUCGAUACGAUGCACACAAGUGCACAAUAGCUAAGAGCAAGAACCAUGAGUGAAAUACAAGUGUAUAAAGAGAGUAGAUCUAGCUAAUACAACCAUUCAACAUUUACAUCAUUUGAAUAUAUUACAUGUCCAUCUUCCAAAUGUAAAUACAUGUUCUCAAAAUACAUCAUGGCUUUCCAAUAUCUAUCCAAAACAUCUAGUACACGAGGGUACUCUAAUGCAUAAAGGAAAGCUACUAACUAUGCUCACUUAGGGCGCUAUGCCCUUGCCGCGAUCCUCGCUCGGCUUGCCUCUGUGUGUACCUGUACCCCAAAACCACACGGGGUGAGAACUAUAUAAAUAUAGUUCCCAGUGGGUUCCGCCGCCGACGCCGCCGGUUUUCCCACUAGGUCUAAGCUGGCACAGAUAGAGAGAUAGAUAGAUAUAUAGAAAAUGAACUGCAACUACUCUAUCAUGCCAUCAAUGAUAAUAAUGCAUGCAACAACUACUAUCAUGCUAGUAUCAUGUCAUGAGUAUAUAAAGGUGCAUAGCAAUGUAAUCUACAACAUACACUAUGUCUACUCAAGGUAAUAAUGCAAGUCUACUAUGCAUUUCAUGUUUAUUACCCAAUCUACUUGGUUGACCCGUAGGUUAACCCUCGACUCACUCUCAAUCUCAUGGGUGAGGAGAAGCUGCACUCGCACACCGAGACCGUCUGCGGGACAACUACGUCUGUCCCUAAUGAAGUACUCCGGAGACUCGUGCUUCGGUGGAGCGACCACCGACAAGCAAAACAGACUAGUGAGUAUGAUCCAAUCCUCACAAGAGGAUACCCUGUCUACUAGGGUCAAUGUGCCUCUGCUGCACAGUCAUGAUAUAUAAUCAAGGUUGGGACCUCUACUAUCUCUAGGUUCAAGUCAAGUUUACUACACUAGACUCAAUGCCACUCGUUCGAUCAUUGUAGUAAGUUUUCUACUAAUUAACAUGCCACUCGUUCAAGUUUAGUGUCUCUACUGCACUAGUUCAAUGCCACUCUACUAGGCUAUGUCCAAGUUCGGCUCUUUAUGCCGCUAUAGGAUUCUAUGCCAUAAGACCCAAUCCUCAUGCUACCCUAGUCUAGGUGUUCAACUCAUCAGUACACUACUAAGAAGCAUGCAAGGAAAAGGAAAUAUACGUUUAUUAAUCCUAUAAUGCAAUAUGAUCAACAUAUAUGUAACUUAGACAUAAAAAGAAAUCUGGAUGUUUCGGAACGACACCCCCCACCUUUGUGUAUAAGGAGGCUCUAGAAAUGCGCUUCGGCGUCCUUUACGACGAAGCCUCAGUCUUCUUGUCCAAAGCGAUGCUCAAUCGGCCUUAUUUUGCCGAUAGCCCUUGACCCGCUCGACGAAUCGAAUUUCCGACUUCGCCCCCACAUUUUGGCACCUAGCAAUUAUGUUUACAAGGCAUCAAAUGAGAUCAAUCCCAUACUUUACCAAAAACCCUAUUUUGGUGCCCUAGGGUUAGCAUCAAGCUAAACCCAUCUCAAAACCCUAGAUUCUAGCUCUAAUCCUUCCAUUCAUGGUGCUAGGGAUCCAUUUGAUCUCAUCCAAAGAGCUAAAACCUAAAAACCCUAAAUUUCACAAGCUAGGGUUAGAAGCUUACCUCUAAGUUAGCUUAAAAGAGAGAAGAGAGGAUGAGGGAGAAGUCCAAAAGCUUUCAUUUGUUGAUCUCCUUCUUCUUCUCCUUCCUUUUCUUCCUUCUUUUCCUUUUCUUUUCUUCUUCUUCUUCUUCUUUCUCUUUUCUUUCUAGAGAGAGAGCAAGAGAGUGUGAGGGAGAGAGGGAAAUGCGGGCUGAGGGAGAGAGAGGGGUCCCCGAUGCCUCAUAUUGUAACAAUAUCCCAAUAGGCCCCUCACCUUUUCACUCUGUGCACUGCCCCUUACUGGGCGUUCUGCUCGCGGAGGGACCGGUCUCCCCGACUUGGGACCGGUCCCCGAGAGCUUCAGCUCGGGUCACGCGUUCGGGUACCGGUCUCUCCCAGAGAGACCGGUCCUCGGGAGACCGGUUCCUCCCUAAGAGACCGGUUCCCGAGAACUGGAAUCUCAGGACUUAGCCAAUUUUCGGCUUUCCUCGCUGGGAUCGCGUUCGGGAACCGGUCCCUUCCUGCCAGGGACCGGUUGCCUCAAGCAACCCCGCAACACCAGCCAAUGGGACCGGUCCCUCCCUGCCCGAGACCGGUCCCCGAGAGCAGUUUUGCUCCAGUGCAAGUUUUGCACUAUUUGCUCUCGUGGACUCAUUUCCAAUGCACCUUUGGUGAUUUUAACAUCUUUGGCUUUUCCAAAGCUUACCAACACGACCCUUGGUCGAUUUUACAUGAAGUCUAACUCUCGUAUUUCGAGAAUUUACUUCCUCACAUCCUCCCCUCCUAAAAAGGAGUUUCGUCCUUAAAACGAAUUCAAUACUCAAUUAACUCAUACGUCAUUGCAUUUCCUCAAAGAGAUGAGGAUAGUGGACUUUCAUCGUUUCCUCGAGUUCCCACGUGGCCUCACGAUCAUCGUGAUUGGUCCAACGAAUCUUCACAUAGGGAAUCUAGCGAUUUCUCAGCUUCCGCACUUCUCGGGCAAUGACCAUCGCCGGGAACUCUUCAUAGCUCAAAUCCUCUUGUAGAUCCGGCGGUUCGUAAUACAUAACGUGCUCGGGAUCGUGGACAUACUUGCGAAGGUUAGAAACGUGGUAUACAUCAUGCACCCCUGCCAGUUUCGACGGUAAUGUAAGUCGAUAUGCUACCGCUCCAAUACGUUCCAACACUUCGAACGGUCCGAUAUAUCGGGGACUCAGCUUUUCCCGUACCCCGAAGCGUUUCACACCCCUCAUUGGCAAAACCUUCAAGAAAACGCGGUCGCCUACCGCGAAUUCCAAGUCUCUACGGCGUUUGUCAGAAUAGCUCUUUUGCCUUGACUGUGCCGUAAGUAGCCUCUCGCGAGCAAGACGGACAUUCUCUUCCGCCUCCCGCAAUAUGUCUGGGCCCAAUGCCGCAGGCUCACCUACAUCACUCCAACAUAUAGGAGAUCGGUAGUUCCGCCCAUAUAGGAUUUCGAACGGUGCCAUCCCAAUGUUAGCUUGGUAACUGUUAUUGUAAGCGAACUCGGCCAUCCUCAAAUGGUUUGCCCAACUACCCUUGUAGUCAAUAACACACGCCCGUAACAUAUCCUCCAGAAUCUGUAUAGUCCUCUCUGACUGUCCAUCUGUCUGAGGAUGAAACGCGGUACUGAAAUCGAGCCGUGUGCCAAGUGCCUCUUGCAGGCUUUUCCAAAAGUGCGAAGUAAAACGGGGGUCUCGAUCUGACACGAUCGACUUCGGAACCCCAUGCAACCUCACAACUUCAUCCAAGUAUACCUGCGCCAACUUGUCGCCCGACCAAGUAGUGUGAAUCGGUAGAAAGUGUGUCGACUUAGUCAUACGAUCCACAAUCACCCAGAUCGCAUCGUGGCCACCCGUCGAACGGGGCAAUCCGACCACGAAGUCCAUAGCAAUAUUUUCCCAUUUUCAAACGGGAAUGGGUAAACUUUGAAGCUUUCGUGCUGGAAAUCGGCGCUCAGCCUUCACUUGCUGGCAUACUAGGCACUGUGCUACAUAGCGCCCAAUGUCUGCUUUCAUGCCCGGCCACCAGUACUACAUCUUCAGAUCACGGUACAUCUUGGUGCCACCCGGGUGAAUGCUAUAAGAAGUCCAAUGCGCUUCUUGUAAAAUUAACCUCCGGACCUCCUCGUUUUUCGGUACGCACCAUCAGUUUCGAAACCGAAGCGCACCCUCGGCGUCUACACUGAAAUCACCGCCGUGUCCACUCUCGAUGUCUCGCCGCACCUUUUGGAGGUUGGGGUCCGCAGGUUGCAAACUCUUGAUCUGCUCCAACAAGGUCGGUUGGACAACGAGAGCCGUAAGCAUAGACGGGGUUUCCGGAGCUACCACUUCGAGAUCCAUACGUUCCAUCUCUCUCCACAGUGGCUCUUGAUGUGUGACCAACAUAGUAAAAUUUUCCACUGACUUCCUACUAAGCGCGUCGGCCACCACGUUUGCUUUUCUGGGGCGGUAUAGGAUUGUAACGUCGAAAUCCUUCAGCAGUUCCAACCACCGCCGCUGCCGCAUAUUGAGCUCCUUUUGUGUGAAAAGGUAUUUCAGACUUUUGUGGUCCGUGUGUAUCUCGCAACGCGCGCCAUACAAGUAGUGCCUCCAUAACUUGAGAGCAAACACUACUGCGGCCAACUCUAAAUCAUGGACAGGGUAGUUCUUCUCAGAACUCUUCAACUGAUGGGAUGCAUAAGCGAUUACCUUCCCGCCCUACAUCAGAACACACCCUAAGCCCAAUUGUGAUGCGUCGCUAUACACCACGAAGUCUUCAUCUUGCACCGGUAAGGCGAGCACCGGAGUCGAAGUUAAUCUAUCCUUCAACUCUUGAAAACUCCGGUCGCACUCGUCAUUCUAAAUGAAUUUGGUGCCUUUUCGAGUCAGACGAGUAAGUGGACUCACGAUCUUCGAGAAUCCCUCCACGAACCGUCUAUAAUAACCCGCUAAACCCACGAAGCUUCGAACUUCCGUGACGUUAGUCGGGCGAGGCCAAUCCUUGAUCGCCUCCACUUUCCUCGGGUCAACAGAUACUCCGCCCUCGGAAAUGACAUGCCCAAGAAAUGCAACCUCUCGGAGCCAAAAGUCGCAUUUCUUAAACUUAGCGUAUAACUUCUCUUCCCGGAGGGUUUGAAGCACAAUUCUCAAAUGCUCGGCAUGUUCCUCAUCGCUGCGCGAGUAGACCAAGAUGUCGUCUAUGAAGACCACGACAAAUCGGUCCAAGUACUCCUUGAAGACACGGUUCAUUAGGUCCAUGAACGCUGCCGGGGCAUUAGUGAGCCCAAACGGCAUGACCGUGAAUUCAUAGUGUCCAUACCGCGUGCGAAACGCGGUCUUUUGAACGUCUUCCGGCUUGAUCUUGAGCUGGUGAUAACCGGACUGUAGGUCAAUCUUCGAAUAAACCCGAGACCCUUGCAAUUGAUCAAACAGAUCGUCAAUCCUCGGUAACGGGUACUUGUUCUUGAUCGUGACCUUGUUCAACUCGCGAUAAUCUACGCAGAGUCGAAACGAUCCAUCCUUCUUUCGCACGAAUAGGACCGGGGCUCCCCACGGCGACACACUUGGCCGUAUGAAUCCUUUAUCAAUAAGAUCUAUCAACUGAGCCCGUAACUCCUUCAAUUCUGCCGGCGCCAUCCGAUACGGAGCCUUCGAGAUAGGCGCGGUUCCUGGAACCAGGUCUAUCACGAACUCGAUCUUCCGGUUUGGCGGCAUUCCCGGUAACUCUGCGGGAAAAACGUCUGGGAACUCCCGAACUACGGAUAGCUCCUCCAAGAUAGGAGUCGUCCUCUCGACUUCCACAACGGUCGCCAAAUAGGCCACGCAACCGCUGUUGACCAACUUCCUUGCCCUCGUCGCCGUCACUAUAGCAGCGAAACGCGAGCUUCUACAAGCCCGAUAGGUGAAUUCCUCCUGGCCCGGCUCUCGAAACGUGAUUACUUUACUUCUGCAGUGAAUAGUCGCAUAGUACUUCGAGAGCCAAUCCAUUCCUAGAAUGACGUCGAAGUCCUUCAACUUCUUGAACAUCAACAUACGGAUGGGCAUUAUCCAAUCGCCCAACCACACUGGACAAGACGAACACUCCAUCCGGACUAGAAAGUCGCGUCCGGGGCCCGAUACCCUCCAAGUGCUUUUACUCUCUUGUAGUUCUAUGUCAUGCAUGCGUGCAAAUGACCUACUGAUGAAUGAAUGCGUAGCACCUGUAUCAAACAUGGCCCUGGAGCGAACUCCGUUAAUUAAAACCAUACCUGCGAGUACAUGGCGAUCCUCCGCCUCAGCAGGCUCUUCGGCUCGAGUUUGGGCGGCGAAUACCCGCCCGCUCGGAGCUGAUCUCGUCGCCUCCGGUUGGCGUGGUACCAUUGCACGCCCAGCCGAUGACGCAGCAGGUGGAACUCCCCCAUAAUGUGCCGGAGUUGCCGGAGCCGACGCGACCGAAAGGGCGGGCGAAGCCCUCACUGGACAGUAGCGGCUAAUAUGACCCGCCUGUCCACACGUGAAGCACUUCCCUUCCCGUUGAUCACACGUCCUUGGCUCGUGGUUCCCACCACAGAUUGUGCACCGCUGCGGUCCGCGGCCCUUGGAUUGCGUUCGGGGGUACUUCGGGGGCUUCCUUGACUUGGUUUGAGCUCCCGAGCUACUCUGAGCCCACUUCCUGCCACCGUCCUUCUCGGACGCUUCUCGCUCCUCCUGGAUGUGAGCGUUUCCUUGCUCCGCCCACAACGCUCUGUCGAGCACCUCCGCGAAGGUAGUGAGCUUCAAUUUGUGCACCGCCCGGUAGAUAUCAGCCCGGAGCCCUCGCUCGAACCAAUCGGCACGAUCCCUGUCAUCACGCACUACGUCGGGGACGCAGUCAAUGAUGUGAGAGAACUCCCGCUCAUAUUCCGCUACCGUGCGGUUCCCUUGCUUCAACUUUCGAAACUGCUCCUGGAGCUUCUUUUUCUCGCUAUCGGGAAAGUAGUUGACGUAGAACAAUCCCCGGAACUCCUCCCACGUCAACGGCGGAAGGUUGGAAGCUCGGUUUCUCUUAAUUCGUUUCCACCAAACCUUCGCCGUUCGCUCCAAGCAAUGAGUGGCGAGGUAGACCUUGUCCCUCUCCAAAGUGUAGAGGUCCUCGAACAAGGUCUCCAUUGAGUCCACCCACGACUCAACCAUCCAUGGUUCGACCUUCUCACCCUCGAACGUCGGUGGGUUGAACCUUCGAAACUUCUCGAGAGCCGCAAGCGCGCGCUCCCUCUCCGCCUCCAAUGCCGUCGCAUCGGGUGUCGUAGAACCCGACCCCGCCGGAGGAAUGCUCGCCGGCGGAGGACGUGCCGCCACCGGAACUGCCGCAAUGCCCUCGCCCUCAGCCGCCGUAGGCGCACGAGCUGGAGGCGGGGGCGGACCACGGCCCUCAGUUGCAGCUGCAGUCGCCGCCGCAAAAUGCCGCUCCAUAAGUCCUUAGAGCUGCUCAAGUCGACUCUCCUGGCGCUGUACAAUGCCGGUCAAGGCCGACACCUGCGCCCGUAAUUCCUGCACCUCACUAGAUCCGGCUUCCUCGGGCACCUCAGAAGACGGUGCCGGGAUGGACCAACGCACGUAGCGUCUUGGGGACAUUGUUCCUGCAACGCAACAAUCGGGUUAGCCAUCUAAACCACUUAACUCUGUCGCAUACACUAUAUUAUGCGACCCAACUCCGCCAUACGCGAAAGUACAUCAUUGUAUUAGUCCUAACUCUUAGCGUCGUGUUGUCGGCCGCCAACACAACUCCUCGAGCUCAGAAACUAACACCUCUCGGAUCUAUCUCUAGUAACGCUAGAGAUAGAUACUCGAUCCGGCCCAAUCGGAUUCUUCUUCCACCGAUUCAGGUUGACGUUUCUCUCACAUACUUAUCACCUUAAGGUUGCCAACCUAGGUCUCCUAGGUCCAUCCUAGACUCUCUCUUUACUUGCUCUUAAUUGCUCUGAUACCAACACUGCUCUGUCACGCCCCGAAAUCGCUACCAAUUUGGUCUGGUUCGGGCGCGUCAAAGAGACGCCGAAUGGACAGCACCUCUCCUGCCCGCCCAAGGCCAAACAACCAGAUCAUGUACAGUUAAGCGCCCAGAGAAUGCUUAAAUAACAUACAUGAUCGAUACGAUGCACACAAGUACACAAUAGCUAAAAGCAAGAACCACGAGUGAAAUACAAGUGUAUAAAGAGAGUACAUCUAGCUAAUACAACCAUUCAACAUUUACAUCAUUUGAAUAUAUUACAUUUCCAUCUUCCAAAUGUAAAUACAUGUUCUCAAAAUACAUCAUGGCUUUCCAAUAUCUAUCCAAAACAUCUAGUACACGAGGGUACUCUAAUGCAUAAAGGAAGGCUACUAACUAUGCUCACUUAGGGCGCUAUGCCCUUGCCGCGAUCCUCGCUCGGCUCGCCUCUGUGUGUACCUGUAUCCCAAAACCACACGGGGUGAGAACUAUAUAAAUAUAGUUCCCAGUGGGUUCGGCCGCCGACGCCGCCGGUUUUCCCACUAGGUCUAAGCUGGCACAGAUAGAGAGAUAGAUAGAUAUAUAGAAAACGAACUGCAACUACUCUAUCAUGCCAUCAAUGAUAAUAAUGCAUGCAACAACUACUAUCAUGCUAGUAUCAUGUCAUGAGUAUAUAAAGGUGCAUAGCAAUGUAAUCUACAACAUACACUAUGUCUACUCAAGGUAAUAAUGCAAGUCUACUAUGCAUUUCAUGUUUAUUACCCAAUCUACUUGGUUGACCCGUAGGUUAACCCUCGACUCACUCUCAAUCUCAUAGGUGAGGAGAAGCUGCACUCGCACACCGAGACCGUCUGCGGGACAACUACGUCUGCCCCUAGUGAAGUACUCCGGAGACUCGUGCCUCGGUGGAGCGACCACCGACAAGCAAAAACAGACUAGUGAGUAUGAUCCAAUCCUCACAAGAGGAUACCCUGUCUACUAGGGUCAAUGUGCCUCUGCUGCACAGUCAUGAUAUAUAAUCAAUGUUGGGACCUCUACUAUCCCUAGGUUCAUGUCAAGUUUACUACACUAGACUCAAUGCCACUCGUUCGAUCAUUGUAGUAAGUUUUCUACUAAUUGACAUGCCACUCGUUCAAGUUUAGUGUCUCUACUACACUAGUUCAAUGCCACUCUACUAGGCUAUGUCCAAGUUCGGCUCUUUAUGCCGCUAUAGGAUUCUAUGCCAUAAGACCCAAUCCUCAUGCUACCCUAGUCUAGGUGUUCAACUCAUAAGUACACUACUAAGAAGCAUGCAAGGAAAAAGGAAAUAUACAUUUAUUAAUCCUAUAAUGCAAUAUGAUCAACACAUAUGUAACUUAGACAUAAAAAGAAACCCGGAUGUUCCGGAACGACACCCCCCACCUUUUGCGUAUAAGGAGGCUCUAGAAGUGCGCUUCGGCGUCCUUUACGACGAAGCCUCGGUCUUCUUGGUCCAAAUGAUGCUCAAUCGGCCUUAUUUUGCCGAUAGCUCUUGACCCGCUCGACGAAUCGAAAUUCCGACUUCGCCCCCGCGUUUAGGCACCUACCAAUUAGGUUUACAAGGCCUCAAAUGAGAUCAAUCCCAUACUUUACCGAAAAACCCUAUUUUGGUGCCCUAGGGUUAGCAUCAAGCUAAACCCAUCUCAAAACCCUAGGUUCUAGCUUCAAUCCCACCAUUCAUGGUGCUAGGGAUCCAUUUGAUCUCAUCCAAAGAGCUAAAACCCAAAAAUUCCAAAUUUCACAAGCUAGGGUUAGAAGCUUACCUCUAGAUUAGCUUAAAAGAGAGAAGAGAGGAUGAGGGAGAAGUCCAAAAGCUUUCUUUUGUUGAUUUCCUUCUUCUUCUCCUUCCUUUUCUUCCUUCUUUUCCUUUUCUUUUCUUCUUUUUCUUCUUCUUUCUCUUUUCUUUCUAGAGAGAGAGCAAGAGAGUGUGAGGGAGAGAGGGAAAUGAGGGCUGAGGGAGAGAGAGGGGUCCCUCAUGCCUCAUAUUGUAACAAUAUCCCAAUAGGCCCCUCACCUUUUCACUUUGUGCACUGCCCCUUACUAGGCGUUCUGCGCACGAAGGGACCGGUCUCCCCGACUUGGGACCGGUCCCCGAGAGCUUCAGCUCGGGUCACGCGUUCUGGUACCGGUCUCUCCCAGAGAGACCGGGAGAGACCGGUCCUCGGGAGAUCGGUUUCUCCCUAAGAGACCGGUUCCCGAGAACUGGAAUCUCAGGACUUAGCCAAUUUUCGGCUUUCCUCGCUGGGAUCGCGUUCGGGAACCGGUCCCUUCCUGCCAGGGACCGGUUGCCUCAAGCAACCCUGCGACACCAGCCAAUGGGACCGGUCCCUCCCUGCCCGGGACCGGUCCCCGAGAGCAGUUUUGCUUCAGUGCAAGUUUUGCACUAUUUGCUCUCGUGGACUCAUUUCUAAUGCACCUUUGGUGAUUUUAACAUCUUUGGCUUUUCCAAAGCUUACCAAUACGACCCUUGGUCGAUUUUACAUGAAGUCUAACUCUCGUAUUUCGAGAAUUCACUUCCUCAAACUUAUGACAUAUAUACUGAAUUUGGGGCAUAGUAUUAAUUGUUAAUAAUUAUACAUGUGGGACUUGAAUUUGACUUAGGAGAAAAUUUGCGAUUUGAACCUGUCAUAUGUUUAAACUACCUGAUUUAGCUCUAGGAGCCGUUGUAAUUUUGUAUCGUCGCAGUAUCGAUGUGAUGGAUACCCCAGGUAGUUUAGAUUUCAGUUACGCUCGUGCUGGGAUGCCGGGUGUCUUUUUACUGUAUCGUUCAGACUGUUCCGAACUGUUGGGUGCCGUCGGAGUUGACGGUGGACCCAUAUCGCCGUUUUGGCGUCAGCUUGUGCGGAGGGCACGUGACCUGUUGGUUGUUAGACCAGUUGGAUCCUGUUACUUGACUUUGGCUUGUGAGAGCCUGAUUGAGCUUGACAGAGAUAUGCUGCAUACUCGAUUGGGUAACUCCCCUGAGUGCCACUCCGGAGACGGGCGCUGUGCUUUCGCGUUGGUGUCAUUCAUGUCGGUUGGACUUGCUCUCCACGGACUGGUUAGUGUGGAGGUAGCUGGAUAGUCUCAACUGGGCGGGACGGGUGUAUUCACAGUCCCUGGGACGGGUAUGUUUACAGUCCCUAAAGAGAUUGGGUCAGGAUUGACAUUUCUACAGUAGGUUGGUUUAGAGUAUGAUAGUGUACUAACUCGUAGCUGUAGAUUUUAUUCCAGCAUUUAUUACUAUCUUCUCUCCCUUCUGCAGACUUAGUGGGUGGGUCGAUGAUGUUGAGGGCGGCACCCACUGAGGAUUACUUGUUUUUACAGUAGUUCUCACGCCCUAUUGUUAUCCCGUUUUUGCAGAGCCAUCGUCUUCGGCUGCUACUAUUGCUGAUUAGGAUCGAGGCAAGGGCGUCGCGAGUUAGAGCCCUACAAGACGAGCCGAGCUAGAGGUGCCCCUACAGCAGGUAGUUGUUUUUGUUGGAGUUCACGUACAUACUGACGUUUAACUCGCUAGUGCGAGUAGUUUUGUAUCUGGGACUUGGCGUAUGUAUAUGGAACUCGGUUUGUUUUUGUUAUUGGUUCUCCUAGCAGCUCUAUACUACUGUUUGUAGUAUUGUAUAUUUUACAGGUACAGCUAUCGUUUCGUAUACAGGGGAAAGUCCUUUGUAUACGGCGGAUUUGUCGGCGUGCCCGGGGAACGUGUAAUCCGGGGCGUGACAUUUGUAGUCAUCCAAAGUAAAUUUAGAUUUAUCAUCUGAUGGCUAUAUAUAGUUAGGUAUGUGUUAAUUAGAUAAAUAAGCCAUAAUAGACAUGACCGAGGAUGUCGUCCCGAAUGUAAUUAAUUGCUUAUUAUUUUAGUUAUCUUCUUCCUCUUCCAAUCUCUCUUCUCCAUAUUAUUUUGUUCUAUUUUAGACCUUGGGUUAUAUUUUAGACCAAAUUGAAAGUUAAUUAACUUAAAUUGCGACUAACGAGAUGUGUGGGGCACUUAAAUGUACACUCCGGAACACCCUGUAAGUGUCAAUUUGACAUUAGAAUCGCGAAUUUGGCUAAUUAUUCCAAUCCUUUCCACUUCAAUCAUUCCCUUUCACUCUCUCUUGUUUUACUCUCUUUUCUUUUCUUCUCUUUUCCCUCUAUUUCUCUUUUCCCUUCUUUUUUUUUAUAAUCUGCUGUCCCUGCAGCAGGUGCUGCUGUUGCAAGCUGCAUGCUGCUGCUGCUGCCUGCUGCAGGAAUUUCCUGCAGUAGCAGCAGCAGGGGAGGGGAAUAGAGAAGGAAGGAAGAGAAGGGAAGAGAAAGGAGAAGAGUAGGAAAGAGGGAAGAAGGAAAAGAAAGGGAAGGGAAGGAGAAAUAAGAGAAUUCACCCUCAUUUCCAAGUUCUUCUUCUUCUCCUUCUUCUUCUUAUUCUCUCUUUUUCUUUUACUUGCUCUCUUUUUUUGAUGAAAUCUGAGAGAGAGGGAGAGAGAGAAAGAGGAUAAGAAGAGAAUAGAAAAAAUCUUUUCUCUUUCUCUCUGUUAGUGGAAAUCCACUAAGAAGGCCAUCUUGCAACUUAACCCAAUGCAAUUGUCAAUUGCAAGAUUAGUAGCCCAAAACAUCCGUUUUCGCAUCAAUUUUGCGCCAAAACGGAUUCACCUCAAUUCCACUCUCACGUUCAUGCGCACUCAAGUAGCAACAGCCCGGAUUUUACAUGCCCUAUAAUGCCUUGUAGACACAAUCGAGCUAUGAUUCUGAUUAUCAAAAACUGAUCUUUGAUAGCUGCAAACAAUUGUAAAACAACAAUUCAAUUUCCCACAUUCAAAUAAGACAGUUAGUCUAUAGGACCCCUCGGAACUUCCGAAGCAAUCCCAUUAAUGAACACAGUGAUGGUUCCUGCUAUUCAUGAAUUUUAAGGGAUUGAGCACAUAUAGCACAAGUGAAAUCCUUGAUUUGAUAUGUUAACAAGAAGUUCAGAAUUGGAAGAAUAUUGCAUGUGGCAGAAGAUCAUAAAAAGCCAAGUUUAGGAGCAAUAUAUAUAGCUUGUGCAUGCAAGAUUGGAAUGUAUUAAGUUGUGCAAGAAGCGUAAAAUGAGACAAUAGAGGAUCUCCUAUAACAUAAAAGCUACGGAAACCGAAACAAAGAGGAAUAGAAGAAAUAUAAGAAAAUUGUAGCUAUCAUAUGUACAAUUGAAAGAUGGUAAUUAAUUCGAGAGUAUGUACUUUCACUAAACAAGAAUCUCAAACAGAAUAUUUCAAUCUUGACAGGGCUUAACCACAGUGGCUGGUAUACCAACUCUCCUCUCCUCUAUGAGGAUCGAUGGAUUCAAUUCCCUCAUAGAGGUUCUUUUACACAGGUUUCUUCAUACAUUAUAAACAUGAAACAAGGGCGGGGUACAUAUAUAGGCUUACGAUAUUAUUCGAGGAUCGUCGUUUAAACCUCGAGAUCGUGGUGAACGAUGGUUUUGAGUGAUACAUGGCUCGCUGGCACCCCCUCCGUCGCCUGUCUCACUCCCAAACCCUCAGAACCCUCCCCUCUCGCCUCUCCAACCUCUCCCUCUACCUCUCCGCCGCCACCCCUCCGCCUCCGCCGCCAGCACCGCCGCCUCCUCCGCCACGUUUUCGCUACGAUUCGCUGAACAGCGGCGGCCCACUAAGGAGAUCGCCUCCUCCGCUCUGACGAGGGUACGCGACUGCCCAACGGAUUCCCGCGCGAUUCGGGCGGGGCGCCACCGCAGCGGCCCGCCGCCCGGAGGACAACGGCAGAGGAGAGAGGGACGCCUUUAUGUUGGAUCGAUCAGAUCGUAGGGCAAGUAUUAGACGGGGGUGAAUUAGGGUUUGGAUCGGAUCUAUCGGAUAGAUGAUGGAGGAGAGAGAGAUGGAGAUCGAUCGAGCUCGAAGCUCACGGUGCGUGGAGAUGGAGAGAGAGAGAGAGAGAGAGAGAGGUUAUUUGAAAUAUAAGGAGAGCUAAUGUGGAAAGUGUUUAUUGCCCAAGGUUGGCCCAUGGCCCAAUUGAUGGAAAAAGUUAAUAAAAUAUAGGGUCCAAUAUUAUUUAUAAAUUUGAGAAUUAUCAUCAUAUAUACCAGCGGUUUAGUAACUGCUGCAAUAAAAAUAAAAAGCGCUGGUAUAAUAUACUUUUAGCGGCAGUUAGCCUAAUUGCUGGUAAAAAAACUGUCGGAAGAAGCUCUAUUUGUUGUAGUGCGUGCCCUCGGCACAAUCUUACGCCAAAAUGGCGAUGGGGGUCCACCGUCAACCCCGAUAGCCCCCAACAGUUCGGAACAGUCUGAACACUACAGUAAAAAUACACUCGGCAUCCCAGCGCGAGCGUAACUGAAAUCUAAACUACCUGGGGUAUCCACCACACUGAUACUACAACGAUACAAAAUAACAACGGCUCCUAGAGCUAAAUCAGGUAGUUUAAGCAUAUGACAGGUCAUAAUCGUUGUUUUCUCCUAAGUUAAAUUCCAGUCCAACACGUGCUAGUAGAUACAUGCAACGAGGAAGCUCCAAUUCAGAUUUUACAUGGAAUAUGCCAAAAUUCAUGAACUGAGCAAAAUCUAACAACACAACAACACAUGUCGAUCAACUAUAUACUUAGAAGACACGUCUGAUGUUGUACCGGUACACCUCUGAUGUUGUACCGAUACAGAAAGUGUACCGGUAUGCCUUAAUGGUUGUACCGGUACAACAAGUAGAAAAUAUGAAAUUUGCAAAUUUUCAAAGCUAAGUCCCGCUCACGCGCCCCCGCUGAGUCUGUUUUGCAUCUAUUUCGCGCCAACACGACUCGGAUUUAUCCCGACACUCUCCAGAGCUGUCGACAGGCCUCUCCUGCUGAACACCAAGGAUACCACAUCCUCCCCCACUACAAAAAGUUUCGUCCUCGAAACUUAACACGUACCUCAACCCUGAGCAUCAAACAAGUAGGGAUAGGACUCCCUCAUCACCGUCUCAGGCUCCCAAAUCGCCUCCCGCUCCUCGUGAUUACUCCACUGUACUUUUACAUACGGGAUGACUCAAUUGCGCAAUUCUUUCGUCUCCCGAGUAAUAAUCCGCAACGGUCACUCCUCGUAUCUCAGAUCCUCACCAAUCUCUAGUGGAGUGGAGUCGAUCACGUGAGAAGGAUAGAACACAUAUCUCUUCAAUGCUGAGACGUGGAAGACAUCAUGAAUGCCAGCUAGUCGCGGGGGUAGAGCGAUCCUAUAAGCAACUGGUCCAACUCGCUUCAAUAACUCAAAACGGCAAACGAAACAUGGACUAAGCUUUCCACGUACUCCAAAUCGGGGAAUCCCUAUGGACGGCGAGACUUUGAGGAAAACAUGAUCUCCAACCUGGAACUCUAAGUCUCGUCUCCUGGUAUCGGCGAAGCUCCUCUGGCGGCUCUGGGCUGUCAAAAGGUGUUGACGAACAACUCUCACCUUUUCCUCAGCCUCAAGCAAGAUCUCAGGCCCUAGUGUCCUCCUCUCACCCACACCACUCCAAAACAAAGGGGAUCGACAUCUGUGUCCAUACAACACCUCAAACGGAGCCACCCCGGCUCCUCGCGAUGCUACAACGACGAACGUACACUCGAAAAGCACCGCGGCGUGACGUCGGCGAAACUCCAACACCACCCAAGUUUCUCCUCCGCACGUACGGCCAAGCUCAAGAGAGAGAGAGAGCACAGCUAAAACAUCUCUUCUCUGCUUCUCUCUAUUCUAUAUAGGAGGGAAAAGGGGUGGGUGAAAACAACGAGGGAAGAAAAGACCAAAAAGCCCCUUACCUACCGUGGUGUACCGGUACACGGGCAAAUGUACCGGUACAAUUGGCAACCCGAGAGCAGCUGCGCAAAAUCUGUCGAAAUGUACCGGUACACCUCUGAUGUUGUACCGGUACAGAAAGUGUACCGGUAUGCCUUAAUGGUUGUACCGGUACAACAAGCAGAAAAUACGAAAUUUGCAGAUUUUCAAAGCUAAGUCCUGCUCACGCGUCCCCGCUGAGUCUGUUUUGCAUCUAUUUCACGCCAAUACGACUCGGAUUUAUCCCGACACUCUCCAGAGCUGUCGACAAGCCUCUCCUGCUGAACACCAAGGAUACCACAUCCUCCCCCAGUACAAAAAGUUUCGUCCUCGAAACUUAACACGUACCUCAACCCUGAGCAUCAAACAAGUAGGGAUAGGACUCCCUCAUCACCGUCUCAGGCUCCCAAAUUGCCUCCCGCUCCUCGUGAUUACUCCACUGUACUUUUACAUACGGGAUGACUCAAUUGCGCAAUUCUUUCGUCUCCCGAGCAAUAAUCCGCAACGGCCACUCCUCGUAUCUCAGAUCCUCACCAAUCUCUAGUGGAGUGGAGUCGAUCACGUGAGAAGGAUCGAACACAUAUCUCUUCAAUGCUGAGACGCGGAAGACAUCAUGAAUGCCAGCUAGUCGCGGGGGUAGAGCGAUCCUGUAAGCAACUGGUCCAACUCACUUCAAUAACUCAAAACGGCCAACGAAACGUGGACUAAGCUUUCCACGUACUCCAAAUCGGGGAAUCCCUCUGGACGGCGAGACUUUGAGGAAAACAUGAUCUCCAACCCGGAACUCUAAGUCUUGUCUCCUGGUAUCAGCGUAGCUCCUCUGGCGGCUCUGGGCUAUCAAAAGGUGCCGACGAACAACUCUCACCUUUUCCUCAGCCUCAAGCAAGAUCUCAGGCCCUAGUGUCCUCCUCUCACCCACAUCACUCCAAAACAAAGGGGAUCGACAUCUGUGUCCAUACAACACCUCAAACGGAGCCAUCUGGAUGCUCGUUUGAUAGCUGUUGUUAUACGCAAACUCAGCUAAUCUCAAAUAUCGAUACCACCCUCCUCCAAAAUUCAGGACGCAUGCUCUCAGCAUGUCCUCUAGAGUUUGAAUGGUCCGCUUUGACUGACCAUCUGUCUGUGGAUGAAACGCUGUGCUGAACGGUAACUGCGUACCUAAGGCUGCCUGCAAACUCCUCCAGAAGUGUGAUACAAACCUCGGAUCCCUAUCAGAUAUGAUUGAAAUCGGCACGCCAUGCAACCUAACAAUCUCAUCCAGAUAUAGUUGCGCGAGUCUCUCUCUGGACCAGGUGGUCUGAACAGGUAAGAAGUGAGCAGACUUGGUCAGUCUGUCCACUAUCACCCAAAUAGCAUAAAAACCACCCUGUAGUCUCGGCAACCCCACAACAAAAUCCAUCGUGAUCUGCUCCCAUUUCCACUCGGGCACUGGCAGACACUGAAGCUUGCCAGCAGGUACCUUAUGCUCGGCCUUCACCUGUUGACAAGUUAGACACUGAGCCACAAAUCUGUCAAUGUCCCUCUUCAUUCCGUUCCACCAAAACUGUGCCUUCAAGUCUUUAUACAUCUUGGUUCCACUAUGGUGAACCGUAUAAGGAGAAUAAUGAGCUUCUCUCAAAAUAUCCGCUCGAAUCUCUGCAUUCAUAGGCACACACAGUCAGUCCCUGUACCGUAGUACUCAUGAACUGUCCACAGUAAAACACUCAGCCUGUCCCCUAUCUAGCUGCUCUCGAAUCCUCGAUAAGUAUAGAUCUCCACUCUGUUUCUCUCGGAUCCUAUCCAGCAAAGUGGGCUGCAAAAUCAGAGACAUUAGUCUCGCAGUAGAUCCAGAGGACACUACCUCGAGUCUCAGCCGCUGCAACUCCUCAAGUAACGGCCUCUACUGUGUGAUCAUCAAACUCAAGCUCUGCACUGCCUUCCUGCUCAACGCAUCUGCCACCACAUUCGCCUUGCCUGGAUGAUACUGAAUACUAACGUCAUAAUCCUUCAGUAACUCCAACCACCGGCGCUGCCUCAGGUUCAGCUCCCUCUGGGUGAACAGAUACUUGAGGCUCUUAUGAUCGGUGAAAAUCUCGCAGUGCUCGUCAUACAAGUAAUGCCGCCACAACUUCAAUGUAAAGACUACCGCGGCAAGCUCCAAGUCAUGCGUAGGGUAAUUCUUCUCAUAAUCCUUUAACUACCGCGAAGCAUAAGCAAUUACCCUACCAUGCUGCAUUAGCACACAACCCAAUUCGCAGUGCGAUGCAUCACAAAAGAUCACAAAUCCUUCCCCUAUCACUGGAAGGGCAAGGAUAGUAGUUGACAUCAAUCUCUGUCUCAACUCAUCAAAGCUCCUCUGACAGUCGUCACUCCAGACAAAACGAAUCCCCUUUCGAGUCAAUCGAGUGAGCGGUGUGGAAAGCUUCGCAAAGCCUUCCACAAACCGAUGGUAAUACACUGCCAGUCCCAGGAAACUCCUCACCUCAGUAACCGUCGUCGGUCUAGGCGAAUCCCGAAUAGAAUCAAUCUUCUUCGGGUCCACUGCUACUCCCUCUGCAAAAAUCACAUGGCCUAAGAAAGCAACCUCCCGUAACCAGAACUUGCACUUCUUUAACUUGGCAUACAACUUCUUCUCUCGUAGAAGUUGUAACACAAUCCUCAAGUGCUCCUCAUGCUCGACAUCGCUCCGGGAGUAUAUCAAAAUGUCAUCGAUGAAGACUACUACAAAACUAUCCAAGAAUGGCUUGAACACCCUGUUCAUCAAAUCCAUGAAUGCGGCAGGGGCAUUCGUCAAUCCAAAAGGCAUCACCGUAAACUCAUAAUGCCCGUACCGAGUCCAAAAAGCCGUCAUGGGAACAUCCUCGGCCCUCACCCUUAGCUGGUGGUAACCUGACUGGAGAUCAAUCUUCGAAAAGACACAAGAUCCUUGCAGCUGAUCAAACAGAUCAUCAAUGCGUGGCAAAGGAUACUUGCUCUUGAUGGUCACUUUAUUCAGCUCUCGGUAAUUCACGCAUAACCUAAGUGACUCAUCUUUCUUCUUUACAAAUAACACCGGCGCUCCCCAAGGCGAUACACUGGGUCUCACAUACCCCUUAUCUAUCAGAUCCUGAAGCUGCGCCUUUAGCUCUCUCAGCUCCGCCGGUGCCAUCCGAUAACGCACCUUAGAGAUUGGUGUAGUUUCAGGAACUACAUCAAUCACAAACUCAAUCUCCCUCUCCAGCGGCAUCGUCGUCAACUCUAGAAAAAACACAUCCAGAAACUCUCGGACUAUAAGAAUAUCCUUGUCCCGACGCCGCCGUAUGUACCUCUACAACUGUUGCUAGAAAAAUGAUACAACCACUACUCAGCAUCUGUCGAGCCCUCGCCGAAGAUAUCCAGGUGGCAAACAACGUACUCCUGUAGUCUCUAAAAGUAAGCUCCUCCUGGCCUGGCUCCCGGAACGUCACUGUCCUCGCUCCACAAUUGAUCGUAGCAUAGUACCGCGCCAGCCAGUCCAUACCGAGCACAACGUCAAAGUCCUGCAACUGCCCUAGCACCAACAGGUCUGUAGGCAUAAUCCACGAAUCCAACUACACCGGACAUGACCAAUAACACUCUGCAACCUGUAACACAUGGUCGGGGAUGUGUACCUCUCGUGCCUGAGACAACGUCCCUAACUCUAGACCAUGCAACAAUACAAAUGCUCGACUAAGAAAGGAAUGCGAUGCACCGAUAUCAAAAAGUGUAAGAGUUCUAAUGCGAGAAAUCAAAAUAAUACCUACCACCACGCGGUCGGCUGCUGUGGAGUCCUCCACCUUAGCUGCAUGACACGGCUACUCGAUGUCUGCUGUCGCCGCUCACUCUUACACGGCACAGAUGCUUUAUUCUCCUGACGGUAACUCGACGGUGCCCCCUAAGACUGCAGGGAUGCUUGCUGUGCAGAUGCUGUGGACGGUGCUGGUGAUGCUGCUCGAUGACAAGCUGACCUCAUAUGCCCUUGCUGACCGCAACUAUAACACCUGCCCUCUCUCUGCUCGCACUGCCGGGGCCAGUGGGGUCCCCCGCAGAUCACACACUGCGGUGUCCUCGGUGAUUGUCCCUGCUGACGAGAUCCCGAAGAACGCUGACGCCCCGAAGACCCACGACCCUGAGAGCGCGAUUGUGGUGGUCUCGGCGGACGCCUACUGCUCGACGGUCCUGCAUCAUCUGGAAAGGGCGCUUUCGGUCCUGACUCUGCCCCACUGCCUAAGUUCUCUCCGGAAGCGACACUUCCUCCCUCUCCACCCAUAAGGCCUGCUCUAUGGAUGCAUCCAGGGUUCUCGACCUCUACGCAUGAACCAACCUGAAGAUAUCGGGUCUCAGCCCCUGCUCAAACAGAUAAACCCUGUGUGCCUUGUCCCUGGCUACAAACAGCACACAGUUCAAGAGUCGAGUAAACUCCCGAAUAUACUCCUGCAUUGCCGAUCCCCCUGUUGAAUCCUCUUCAAAUCCUCCUCGAGUUUCUGUUUCACACUGUUAGGAAAAUAUAUCCCAAACAGCAUUCCACAGAACUCAUCCCAUCUCAGCUGCAACGCUACUAGUCCCUGAUCUCGCCUCACUCUCCUCCACCAGGCGUGUGCAUCACCUACUAAGCAAUGGACUCCCAAAGAAACCUGCUCCCACUCAGGAAUGAACAGAUCCUCAAAUAGCUUCUCCAUAGCACUGACCCAUCCCUCAACGACCCAGGCCUCAGUACCACUGCCAUCGAAGGUCGGCGGAUCAAAACGGCGAAAACGAGCCAGCCUCUUGGUCAUCCGCUCCUGCUCGGCCUCGGUCAAUUGUCCUGGCCCUCUAGAAGGCGCAACCGGCACUGCAAGAAUAUCCACUAGCGGGGGUACAGCUGUGGCUGGUGUGGCGGCUAAAGUAGUCGGAGGUGGAACAGCCGGCUCUGGUACUCUCGGUACUAUACUCGGUGGCGGAGCUACCCUCUCACACAACCUCUCCAACAACUCCCCUUGUCGCCUCGUCACCUCCGUCAAGGCAGCCAACUGUGCACUCAAAUCAGGAGGUUCACCCACCUCCGGUCGGGCCCUCUGCUCCGCAACAGGGGGUGUACUCGCCUCUGCCUACUUUGGCAUCUCAGGAGGUACAGCACGAUCCUGAGUCAACUGUGCACGAUCUCGCGUACACGGUCGACCUCGGCGACGAUAUAUAGCUGCAAGAAACAGAACGGGGUCAGAUCAAACAAACACUCUCGACCCAAUCAACGACAGUCUAGAAGACGGCCUCUGUUUCUCCUCAAAAUUAUGUCGUCUGCAGCCGAAAUAAUUUUUCUCGACCGAAAUAGAAACUCCUUCAAUAACUCAUUCCACUCUAGGAGUAGUUAAAAUAAUUAAUCAUUGACUUUGGCGAUAAAUCACGCCUCUCGCGUCUUGCCUCCUAAGGUUUGCCAAACUUAGGGUUCCUAGGUCCCAACGACCUAAUACUAAGCUCUAAUACCAACUUAAUCUGUCAUGCCCCAGAUAUCACGUUGUACGACACGCCGACAAAUCCGCCGUAUACAAAGAAAUUUUUCCUGUAUAUGAAACAAAGCUGUAACUGUACCUGUAAUAAUACAACACUAAAACCAGUAGUAUAGAGCUGCUAUGGAAAAUAAACAUAACCUGGUAGCAAAUAAAAGUUCACUAUACAUACAACAUCUGUAUACAAAAGCUCGCCUCGCGAGAAACAGUAAUGACAUUAUGUAUAAGAACUCAAAAACUACAACUACCUGCAGCUGGCACUCCACUAGCUCUGGCUCGUCUCGUAGGGCUCUAACUCGCGACGCCCUUGCCACGAUCAGGAUCAGCAGCAGCCGACGACGACGGCUCUGCAAAACGAAAAGGAACAAUAGGGCGUGAGAACUACUGUGAAAACAAGUAGUCCUCAGUGGGUGCAGCCCUCAAUAUCAUCGGUCCACCCACUAAGUCUACAAAAGGGAGCAAAGAUAGUAGAAGAAUGCUGUAAGAGAAUCUACAACUACAAGUCACUACACUAUCAUGCUCUAUACUAACCAACUAUAGGAAAUAUCAAUUCUGACCCAAUCCAACUGGGACUAUAAGCAUACCCGUCCCUGGGACUGUGAACACACUCGUCCCGCCCGGUUGCGACUAUACAGCUACCUCCACACUAAGCGGUCUGUGGAGAGCAAGUCCAAUGUAACCCCCCGGGGUCUCGGAAGGAAUUAUCGAACUUUAGCCAAAUCGACUAAAGUAUGCGAAGAAGAUGGAUGGACAAGUCCCAAUUAACAUUCCAACACUGUUGGAAGGGUUAAAAGUAAGCUCUAAAAGAGUUGGAAGGGUUUUGGCAUCGAACGGCGCGAAGUGGAGCGGAAUUUAAGUCAAAAAUGACAUUCUGGAUGUUUUGUACCGGUACAAACCCAAUGGUUGUACCGGUACAACCAGCGAAGCUCUCGGGUUGGAGCUGCCAGGCCUUGCACCGGUACAGGGGGCCUUGUACCGGUACAAGCCCUGCUUAACCGAGAGAACCAGCUCUCGGGUUGGGCUGUCUGCCAGGCCUUGUACCGGUACAAGACCCCGUGUACCGGUAUAAGGAGCCCGAACAGCAGGAGAUGUUUCAGAUAUGGAAAAAAUAGAGGGGCUUAUUUGCAAAUAUGCCUAUAUGAGGCAGAGGGUCCACUCCCCUCUCAUUUCCCUCUCAUUUCUCUCCCUCUCUCACACCUCUCUUGCUCUCUCUCUCUCUAAACCGAAAAGAGAAAGAAAGAAGAAGAAGAAGAAGAAAGGAAGGAGAGGAAGAACAAGAAAAGAGGAGGAAAGUAAGGAGAAGAUCAAGGAGAAUGAGAAGAAGCUCAUCUCCCUUCUCUCUUUCAAGCUAAAGCUAGCUUUGGAGCAAGCUUUUAGAGGUAAGCUCUGACCCUAAAAAGGCAUUUCUAGGGUUUAGGGUUUUGGUUGCUUUUGAGUGGUUCAAAUGGAACCCAUUUGAGUUAGAGAAGAUGGUUCUAGCUCACAUUGAAGCUUUGAACCAUGGAUUGCACCAUUGAUGCAAACAUAGGGUUAGGGUUUGGGUUUUGAACCCUAGAUCUUGGUUUUGAUCUCCCUACAAGUUUUAGAACCUUACAUUAGACAAAAGAACACAUGAAAUCCAAGUGUUCUUCAAGGUGCUCUAAUGGUGGAUUUCUAGGGUUUGUUCUAAACACCCUAGAAAUGAUUCGGAUGCUCCUAGUUGAGCUUCUAGAUGAUAAACAAGCUCUCUUUUGCUUGUUUUAUAGAUCGAAUCCGGAAUAUUGAGCAUAUGUCACAUUAGGGCAUCCCAAAGAGGGAUUUUUCUCAUGUGGGGUUUUGAUCUAUUUUGACCCCUUAGAAACCUAAUUGGGGACCUAACAAACGCGUUGGCGAAGUCGGUUUAACCAUUCAUCGAGUGUACGCGAAGUUAUUGGCCAAAUAAUAUUUUGUCGUACAGAUGGCCGCAGCACGCGGAAUAAAGGUCUAAAAAUCAUGAGAUCAGAACCGGAGCACCUUGGAGUCAAGGAAUAAGCACCGGUAAAGACGGAUCGCGAUUUGGAGGUCGUUUGGAGGUCGCGUAAGAGUGCGGGCCAAACCGGGCAACGAUUGCUGCGGGGGGCCGAUUGCAAGUGACUACAAGCAAUCGGAGAGCGAGUUAAGGUGGGUUGUGUUUACCGAAGCGACUAGGUCGCCAUUAUGUCUAAGAAAUGUUAAAAAUCUAUGUUGAUGCAUAUAAAUGUAAAUGGGACAUGUAUAGGAUUCAUAGAGCUAAUGCUAAUUAAAGCAUGUUGGUAGUAUUUGUAAAGUGCUAUGUAAAUGCUUGACGAGCAUUGCGAGACUAUAAAUAUGCAUGUAAACUAGAAGAGUGCAAGUAAGCACAACGCAUAGAAUGAAUUGCAUGAUGAUGACAUAUUCAUGUAGAAAUGAAUGUUAGAUAAAGUGCAUACUAAUAUAAGAUGUAUGUUAAGUAAACACAUGAACUAUGUGCAUGAACUAGAUGCUAAUGAUAAAUGCAUAAGACAUAUGCCUAGCUAUGAAUGUGAAAUAAGAUUAAUGAACUCUAAGUAGAGUAAAGAAUUUGACAUUGUAAAGUAAGAACCUCGAGUGGCAUGUCAAUUGAGAAUCCUAAGUAUAAAUAACUAGGAUGAUGAGUGGCAAUGAAACCUAGCGUCAUUGAACAUAGGUUAAUGAGAAAGACAUUGAACCUCAUGUUAGAGAACAUAGGUUGAGAGUUAAAGUUAAUGAACCUAGCGUUAAAGUAAUAGGUUGAGAGUUAAAGUUAAUGAACCUGGCGUUAAAGUAAACCUAGGAAAUGUGAUAAAAGUGUUAAACCUAGAGUCAAGUAAACCUAGGUUGGAAAGGAUAAUGGACCUAAGUAGGUCGACACUAUAGGGUUACAAGACCAACCCUUCAGUUAUGUAAAGUGGAUUCCGGAAUCCUGGCUGCGAGUGCAGCGGCUGCCAGUGCAGCAUAUGAGCUCGGAUGUUCUUGGCCGCGGGUGUAUGUGGCAAGGUUCCUCUCCCACCGGAAGAACUUCGAGGUUUGUGAUCGAGCAAGAACAGUGAGCGCUAGGGUGUAUGUGGCACGUUCCUCCCCCUAUCGGGGAUCUCGGCUGCGGGUGUAUGUGGCAUGUUCCUCUUCCACCGGGAGAUCCCUGACCACGGGGUACGCUAGGCGACCCGUUGGGCGAUGUGGUUCUUGGUCUAUAGGCUGAGGUGCAUACGAGAGUUCCUUCACCUCGAGCCGGACAGAGCGCGGCUUAUCCGCUGUCGAUUAACUCAAGAUCGAGUCGGGUGGCAUAGUGUGACCGAGGUAUAUGUAACCUUAGAAAAGAAUGGCAAGUAAAGUACAGAGCUAGCUAAGAAUAAAGAAUGGCUAAAGAAUGAGAAUAACAAAAGAAAAGAAUAAGAAACGGCUAAUGUAAAAGAAUAGCUAAUAAAGUAAAGAAACGUUACAAGUAAAGAAUGGCCGAGAAUAUAAAGUAGGACAAAGCAAUCUACAUGCAUAAGUAUAGGGUUUGCAUAUUGCAUUUUGGGGGCAGGACAUCUUAGUUCAAUAUCUGUUAUAUAUCUGCUACAUGUUAUUGGACUAACUUGUUACAGGGCCUCAUUAGACAUAUCGACCAAGCUUUUCCCUUGGGUGGCCGUACCCACUGGGAACCAUGGAGUUGGUUCUCACCCCACGUGGUUUUGGGGUGUUUACAGGUACACACGUGAGCGGCGCAGCGGCGCGAGGCAAGGGCGUAGCUUCAUAGAUAGCGCCCUACCCCAGAGACCGAGAUAGCGGUACCCGAGUUAGUGGUCUAGCUUGGGAGGUUUAAAGAUAAGAACAAACUUUUAUCAAGUUGUAAUAAAUUGUAGUAAUUUGUGGUUGUAUUCGGAAGUUUAAUGUAAAAGAAACUAUGAUGUAAAAUGUAUCUAAGUUGAAUGUUGUAAUAACUUAGUAGUAUUAUGUGUUUGAUACUUCCUUAUGCAAUCUAUGAAUGAAUACUGUUCCUGGUUGGGACCUCUUGUAUUGUGUGGAUUGCGACGCCUUGGACGUACAGGGGAGACUCUGUCCGUUCGGCGGUCUGUUAACGUGCCCGAACUCGACCAAAUUGGCGGGGCGCGGGGCGUGACAGAUAAGAUAGUAUCAGAGUAUAAAGUAGAAAAUAGGAAUGGUUUAGGCAGACCUAGGACACCCUAGGAUAGUAAACCAUAGGAGACCCUAGGAUAGUAAACCAUAGGAGAAUAAGGCUCAUGAGAGACGAGGACUUGUGAUUCGUGGCGAAAGGUUGACGGAUUGGGUUGUGUCAAAACCUCUAAAACAUAUAUUAGAGGUAGAUUCAAGGUAAUGUUUAUUCUCAUCCGAGGGUGCUCAUGUUGGGUGCACACAAUAUGAAAUCGAGUGAUGAGAAUAGACACCCUUGUGUGACUUUCGCCUGAUUGGCUUUUGAGCCGGUAUUAGUAGUCUCAUGUUCGACCCAAGAUGGUCGAGAACUAAUCGAGUUGUCGUGUUUCAGGAAACGAUGGCACCGCGUAGGCGAUCUUCAUCCAGAUCAACGUGGGAGGGGACAAGUGGUGUCCCUGAGCAAACCGACGCGAGCGGAGGCUUAGAGCUUCGCAGUUAUGUAUAGUUCAGUUUUAAAGUUUUAAAAUUACAGAGAAUACUUGUAUAGUUUAGUUACUUUCACUUGUUCCUAUUGCUUGCCCUCGUGCAAGCCAUAUAUAUUGAAAUGUUAUUCUGGGAAUUGUUUAUUUCUUUAUACAUGUACUCAUUGUUGUUGAGCCUUGGGCGGAUAGGGGAGGUUCUAUUCGUUCGGUGUCUGUGUACGAACUCGAAUCGACCAAAUUGGUGAUAGCGGGACGUGACAGAUUAAAUGGUAUCAAAUACUUUCUCUUUUAGUUGAGAUUUUGGGUUGUGUACCCUUUGUUCUAUUGUUGAUAGUUUUAUUGACUUCUACUAUGCUCUGAUAUCAGGAUAGGAUUCUUUUAUGUUUUACUCCUAUCGACCUGCUUCUUGUAGAUGCCUUAUAUACUGCAGGUGUAUGGCGGGUCUGUGCACGUACCGGAUAUGCUUCCGCUGGUACCCGGGCGUGACAUUUAUGUACCGAAUCGUGCAGGAUAGGAUGUGGAGGUGCGUACGUGCAAAAUACACGCGUGGGCAGGGACUCGGAUGAGAAUAUUCAAUUUUGGGGGACGUUUCUGCAAAAUGCCUCCUGUAUAUAAGCUUGCAACUAGGGUUUCUUUGCAAGAAACCCUAGAUCUAGCCAACCUACUUCCCCAACCGUGCCCUAGCUAGCAUCAGCAGGUCCCUGCCCUAACCAUGCGCGCACCAUGGCCGCCGGCAGGUGCCCCGGCCGCCGAAAAAUAGGAACCCGGCCACCUCUCAUUCGUUCUCUCUCAACUAAUCCUCCACCCUCCUCGGUCUUGGAGCUCAGGAAGCCACUAACUGUGUAGGACCACUUUCCCCUGGCCGAGAUCAACCUCUGACGCCGAUCUCGCCGGCCCCCGCCGUCCCCGUGCACUGCCGGCGCUGCCCGAGCAAGCUGCGGUCAACAGCGGUCACCCAGACCGAGCCUGGGUGAUCUAUGUUUCUGCACGCCGCCGCCGCUCCCCGCCGACAGUGCGGCCCUCCAAACACCUCCGGCGUGCAUCCCCGGACGUCCCUGAAGCCGCCGGCCGACGCUCUUCCACUCUGCGGCCGCCCAGAGCUUGUGCGGGCCGAGGUCGAGCCACCUCGGCCACCGCACGACGCUGCCGCACACGGAGGGGUGCAUUAUGAUCCCCUCGGCCUCCGGCGACUGAUUGACGUCGCCCCAACCUCCUCCGGCCGCCGUCGCGCCGCCGGGAAGCCUUGAACCCGAGAGCAGUUGGCGGGCUUGAUCUCCUCCGCCGCGCCACCGGCUGCCGCCCGCCGCCGGCCAGCACCUACCUCGGACCUCUCAAACCGGCCGCUUUCAUUCUUGGUCGGAGCGCUCGCCGUCCGGCCGCUGAAGACCAACCCUAGCUCCCACUGCUCCGGUAUGCUAUUAUUUUAAGUUCCAGCACUGUAGUUUGGGGUUCCGGUUGUCUUUCCGGCAAUCCGAAGGCACCCUGAUGACUGUGGGAGGGAGCACAAUCAUCGUUAUUUCAUUCUGAACAUCAUGCUCACCUUCGUUGGGGUCAACGGUGCCCCGGUUUGCGCGUUAGAAGCAUUAUUUGCGCUGUACGCGCUGCUUCGUGAUUGUCGCAUCGCUUGUGCGCUUCCCACAGUGGAUGGAACUGCUCUGAAAGGUGAGCACAGCCUCCGGCAUACUGAGACCUAUCAACAGGUGUCUCGGUUUGGCAAAAGAGUUAACAGAUUGCUCGGUUGGACCAUAAAAGCUUAGAAAUCACAUAAAAUAAUGGGAUUUCUUGCAAUCGGGAGGGCUUUUAUGCUUUUUGUUCGUUGUGGCUGCUGUUGGCAGUAAGUAUGAGCUGAGGAUAACCUAUGGACUGAUCGUCCAAGGCCCCAAGCCUUGUCGAAAAUCGGAAAGUGAUUUUCGGAGCAUUUCUUGGCGAAAUCCGCCGACGGAACGCGGGUUCGGUUCGGAAUUAUUCCGAUGGUGCUUCGUGAGAUAUUGUGUAGUCGCUGAGCCUUGUUGGCUGGCCACUCGCGUCAUUUCGAGAGUUCAGAAAUGACGGGUGAGCGACGGUGGGUUCCGGUGUCGAAAUUAACACUUCCGGGAACCCGGAUCGAAACGAUUAUCCGACGAUAAUUGUUUCGACGUGAGGAGUUAUGUUUUCUGUCAUGAUGCACGAUUAAUUAUGUUUAGUGGCAGCGGGUGACUCGUAGCGUGAGUCGGUGUGUUUCGGGACAGUUAGUGGGUCCCGGCGGAGUCCCGGUGCGAUUUUCGGGACUUCCGACGUGUUCGGCAAUCGGUUUUGGGAAACCGAUUCCUGUGGGGCUAUGAGUGGGGAUUGUGUGUUAGCGAUUUGUGUUAGUAGGUUAGAUUCUAACCCGGUGGACCAUUCUUAGGUCUAGUUGACGUUCUUUUGCAGUCAGGAGACAGGAGCGACAUUCGUAGAGGUGGGUACUUCAAUCCGACGUCGGUACAGUGGUGCAUGCUCGGUGAUGGUUUCUUACCCUUGCUCUUUUGUUAUUAUCCAUGCAUAUACUAUAUGUUGAGCUUUGCACCACUAUUGUUUACAUUACACUCUACUCAGAUGUUCCCAUGCUUAGUAUCAGGUGUAGGAGUAGAGUAGUCUAUCUAUUUGUGAUACCUAUGACCUGGUUGGUCGAUUCUUGUACUUCGUAUCAGUGACCUGAUUGGUCGAUUCUCGUACUUCGUAUUAGUGACCUGGUUGGUCGAUUCUCGUACUCCGUAUCAAUGACCUGGUUGGUCAAUUCUCGUACUUCGUAUUAGUGACCUGGUUGGUCGAUUCUCGUACUCCGUAUCAGUGACCUGGUUGGUCGAUUCUCGUACUUCGUAUUAGUGACCUGGUUGGUCAAUUCUCGUACUUCGUAUUAGUGACCUGGUUGGUCGGUUUAUAUAUGUCGUAUCUGUGACGCAUUUGUCGGUUCUUGCAUCUACACUUUUGUUAACCCUUGAGCAGUAUUUGCAUACUUCUGAGAGGAUGUUGAGUUGUUCCAUCCUAGUUGACCUAAGUGGUCAGUUCUUGUUCUUCCUUAUAGUUGAUGACCUAUACGGUCGGUGAGCCCUGUUGGCAGGAUUGUCGGUUGGUUGCUGACGGUUGAUCAUUGAGCAUAUUGCAUUGAUCGCUCGAUACUCGUCGCAUUUCACGAACACUGGCGGUCUGAUCCACCGCAAGGGGUGUUCUUUUCCGAAAAAGUGGUUGCAGGUGUCAACCCGUGAGCCCUAGAGGGGUUAUAUGCAUGGUUGAGUGGCAGUGGUACUGUUAGGAGGUUUGCGGUGCAAACUUCCAGGGCAUAGGCUUGAGGUUUGCGGUGCGGACCAACAGAGCAGCAGAUUCCAGAUUGGGUAUAUUUGGUCUAUACAUCCGGUUGAUGCAUAUGUCUAUAGUAGCAGUCGUUGCAUGCAUACUUACAGUUCUUGCCUUAUAGUUGUCUUGCUACUAUAGUAUAUAUCUAUGUUUGCCUUUUGUUCUAGUUACAGUAGCGGUAGUCUAGUUACUACCUUCAUUAUUUGUGUAGUUUAGUUACUACCUUCGUUAUUUCUGUUGAUAUGACUUAGACAUCUAUAUGGUUCAGUAUUUUAUUAUGUAUAAUUAUUCAAGAUUUCAGUUGGUUUUCCUAAUGAGAUAAAGAUUUCUGGAUUUUUGUAAAAAGGAAAGGUUUUCUACCCCUCGUGGUAGCGUGUUUUAAAAAGAAAAGGUUUCCGUGUGGGAAACAGCUUUCAAAAGAGUUUUCUCAUUAUUUUCUUGAAUUAGUAUUUCAAAAUAAGUUUCUGGCUAGGAAACAUUUCAACUGAUAGUUGUGGAUUUAUAUUCAGAUUAAUGUUUAUGAACCUGUGGUGAAUGGUGUAUGGAUAUUGAAUGUAUAAUGACUUGUAUAUUCAUUUAGUUGUGGUUGUAUCAUAUUUUACAUCUUGUACUUGUGCGACGCCAUGCAAAUACAGGGAAGACUCUGUCCGUGUGAACAGUGGAAUCCCUGUAUUUAUGGCGGAUUUGGCAUACCCUGUGGUCAGGUUUUCAAAAAAAAAAAUUUCUAGUCACUUCCGCUGUAUUUUCAAACUAAAAGGGACCCCGGGGCGUGACAGAUCAUAGCGCUCGAAUAGCUCAUUUCGAACGGUUCGACCAUCCUGGACGCAAUGGCACUGACGAAAUUGGAUUCUGAUGCACGGUUGUCGAGAAAAAGGGGUUUGAUUGGUUUCACAUGUAGUAAUAUAAGUGGCUACAAAGUGAAAACAAAAGAGGGAUAGUUUUGACGCAAAUCGAAAACCAAAUCGGACAAAGUUGUUAGGUCCUAUGUGUUGGCAAGUUUCGUGGGUCGAGUCGGAGUCUUGAAGAAGUCUGGAGCGGCGUAUUGAAGAUCGAAGAAUCCAAAACUUCGAAGAAUCGGAAAGGACGCAAAACACGCAAAACAUGAAUCACGAUGCUUUAAAUCUUGUUUAAGGUGAUUCAUACUUAAUUAUAGAUUUUAGAAUCAUGUUUUCAAGUUAUAAUUGAUUAGAAAGUUUCUAAAAGCUUAUAAAACUCGAAACAAUGCAUUUUCAGCGAAAAUUGCAUUGUUGUAUCGGUACAAGAGUUUUCUGUCCAGGGUACAGCCAUCAGCGUUUGCGCAGAAAAGUUUGAUGGUUGUUCCGGUACAACCAUCAUGGCUGUCCAGUGUCCAAGCCCUGUUUCGGUACAAGAUGCAAUCUGUCCAGGGUACAGAAGCUUCGCAGAAAAAUCUUCCGUCAUGCUGUACCCUGGACAGCUUUUCUUGUUCAGGUAUAAGGUGCUGAUUUUGGAAAAAAACUUUCUAAUCCUACUCUGUUUUGAUUCUAAAGUUUAUAAAUAAGCUAUAGGGAUUCUCUAACUGAUUAAGCAUCAUAAGAAUACAUGUUUGAGAAACCCUAGAGGCUCGGAUUUUAUUCUAAACCUAUUUUCUACAUAAAGCCUCUUUUAGGUCAAAUCGAGAUAUUGAAUUUUCAUAUCUAUAUGUCGAUUUGAUCUCCGCUUUGCUUGGAGUUCUAUUCCCUAGUUUUCUACGAUACUCCUAAGCGAAGGAUCACCAUAAUCAUGAUGCUUUUCAUGAACGGCGUCGUGGAUUCGGCGUGAAUAAAGGUGGUUCGUGGAUUCGGAUCGUUGGCUCGUGGAUUCGAGUGGCGUCGUGGAUUCGGCGUAAUUGAAGCUUCGUGCAUUUGAAGUGGAGGCGUUCGUGGACUCGAACGUGAGGGCGUGGACAACCCGGAGAGUAGCGCGAAGAUUCAUAGGAGGUUAAGAGAGGUUGAGUUCAUGGAGUCGGUAAUCACCUUGUAAUCUUUUCUCUUAGUGAAUUAUUUUUUCGUGUGUUGGUCCCGUGGGUUUUUCUCCAAGUUGGAGUUUUCCCACGUAAAUCUCGGUGUGCUUUUUAUUUUCCGCAUUUAUUUUUAUUGCAUCGAGAUUUGUGGUUUUUGGCCGUACACCUAUUCACCCCCCUCUAGGUGAUAGAUACAAUCUAGAUAGAUCCUUGGGCUCCUCAAAACUUUCACGGAUCAGAAAAUUGGUGGGGUGAGAACUACAAAAAAUUUCCCAGUGGGUUCGGCCGCCGACCCCAUCGACUUUCCCACUAGGUCUAAUCAGGCGUAAGUAGAAGAACAGAUAGAUAGAUAGCCAUUUCUAAAUAAAUGCAGCUACUAUGCCUGAACAAGAAUAAUAACCAAUAUAUGAUGCUCAUGAUGCAUGCCAAUUGCCAUUUUCAAUACCCAAUCCUCUUGGCUAAUGUAACAUAUUGAACUUCUACAAUUAUGAAGUUUCGGUGAGCUUAGAAAGUUGUUGGAGCAGUUUCGACGAAGUUCGGGAACGUUCGAGUGUUUUCGGUACGCGUUGGGCGCGAAAACGAAACUCGAAAAGCUAUGAUUGGACCUUGGCCGAAAUUCGGCAAGACAUGGAUGAAAAGAUGGUUUAAACGUGCUAAAAAAGGUGUUUUGGGGGUCUCGGUACGAUUAGAGAUGAAUCAGAGACCCAACGAGUGAAAACGAGUGAAAACGGAGAAGAAAUGGCGAAAGGCUGAAAUUUGGCUAAGUGCUGAAAUUUGCAGAAUUUCUAGACCUACGGGGUCCAGACCCUGAGUGUAAGGUCCGGAGCCCAAGCCCGAAAAUUGCCCAAGUAGAGUGGCAUUCUUGUAAUUAAGUGGUGGGGGUUUGACUUUAAAGGGGGGCCAUCUUCUUCCUCCCUCUCCCUCAGCCAUUUACACACACAUACACACACACCUUGGUAGUGAGAGAAACACCUCUCCCUCUCUCUAGAUUCCCACUUCCCCUCUCUAGAUCUCUCUCCCAUAAUUGGAGGCUUGGUGGAGAAGAGGCUUGGGGACGCAUGUGGAGCGUCGAAUCGGGUCUUCGUGCACCCGGUGGAGCGGUGUGCUUUCGACUCGGCGUUCGCAUUUUGGUGGGUGUUUAGGAUUUGGUUAAAUCCUUCAUGCAUGAGGUUCUAGUGGUAUCUAGAGUGUUUCUAGCAUGUUUCUCCAUUUAAUUUUGGAUUAUUUGGAGAGUGUAUUCAUGCUAGGGUUAGAAUGAGGGUUUUGGGAUUUGGAGGGUUUUGAUCUAAAUUAACCGUAUAUUUCUCUAAUUGGAGGUUAGAGAAGGGUCCCUGACAACCCUAGGUCGUGGAUUGGUGGGCAUUCGGUGGUCGAGUGCGAGUUCGAGCCGAACCGGACAACGAGUGACGUGGGAGCCCAAUUGCAAGUGUCGAUAAGCAGUCAAAGAGCAAUACGAGGUGGGUUGUGAUCACCGAAGAGAUUAGAUCACUUCCAUGUCGAAGUGAAGUAUUAUUUAUCAUUGAUGCAUAUAAUGAUAGUUAAUUGGAAAGCAUAUGAAUGCAUAACAUAAAUGCUAUGUUGGACUACCAUUGGAUGAUAAUGAUGAUGUAUGGUUCUUAUUGGUGCAUAUAUGUAUAGUGGUAGGUUGUGAAUGAUAAUAUGAAUGCAUGAAUCAUAUUAUGUUAGUUGAUGUACCUACCAUUGGGAUAUGCAUGUGAACAUUAUGAGAACAUGCUAGAUGAAGUAUGCAUGUUGUAAGAUGUUGAAUCCUCGUUGUAUUAAACCACUUUUGGUCAAAAUGACCAAAGCGUGGCGAGAAGGAUGCUUGGACGUGAUCCAUGUGACAUUCCAACAAUAUUGGAAGGGUUAAAGUUGAGUCCCGAUGAGACUAGAAAGGUUUUAGCAUUGCUCGGCGUGAAAUGGAGCUUAAGGCAUUGCUAAAACUGCAGUUGGUUCACUGCGUACCGGUACUGAGGAGGUGGUACCGGUACCAGGCAGGCAACCGAGAGCAGCUGCUCUCGGGUUUGGACAUUUCGGGACUACGUACUAGUACAGCAUCGGGGCGUACCGGUACCCCGCUGCAGAUCGAGGAUAGCAGCUCUCGGGUUUGGCCUCUGCGUAGUGGCGUACCGGUAUGGCUUCGAGGCGUACCGGUACCCUGCACUGCAAACAGCAGGUUGCAGUCUGUUGUAAAUAGCAAUUGUUUUGGGGCUUUAUUACAAUUGUGGCAGCUUAUAAAAGGCCCCACCUCCUCCUCUCUUGUUCACAGCCAGAGAACAUCCCCUUCACUCCAUUUUUCUUUCUCUCUCUCUCUAGAAGCUCUCUCAAGGGUGGAUCUAAGAGGAGGGAUUGGUGGAGAUUGAAGUUUGAAGGUGGAUUUCAUCCUCUUCCUUGGUCUGGAGGAGCUUACAGAGGUAAGCUUCAAACCCUCUCAUGGUGGAUUUCUAGGGUUUGAUUCUUAUGCUCUAGAAUCGGUUUUAAUUAAACCCUUAGAUGUUGAAUAGAUGAUUAUUGCUUGAAUCAUGAAGCUAUACGAUGGAUUCUUGCAAUAGUUAUGAUCUAGGGUUCCAAAGUGGGUUUUGUUGGAAUGAGAUCUAAAGUUGGGAUUGAUCUCUUUUAUACCUAAUUGCUAGGUAAUCGAGCGCGUUGGUAAACUCGGUUCGGCGAUCCGACGAGUCUGUGCGGAGGUAUUAAAGAAAAGCUUGUUUUUGGCUUUGUUUGCCGCAGUCGAGAGAAAUAGGCGGCAAAAAAUUACGAAACUUGGAGUCUAGCUUCGUGGCAUCACCAGAAGGUGAGGGGUGUCCAUCCCAAAGCAGUUGAAUUUCCUCCUAUGUCUGAGUUGUUUUAUUAUAGCAGUUGAACAUAUUAUAGCAUAUGUUCAUAUAUUGUUUUAUUAUAGCAUAUAUUCAUAUAUUGAAUUUCCUCCUAUGUCGGAGUCAAAGAUCUCAGCAAAAGUCGUCAACUUGAACAGUUGCACGGCCUCGUAAAGUCCCGGCCGAAGUCCUCGCAAGAACCAGUCGGCCCGGUCCCGGUCGUCUCUAACCACAUCCGGGAUGCAAUCAAUUAUGUGGGAGAAUUCUUGCUUGUAGUCCACUACCGACCGAUCUCUUUGCCUUAGUUUGCGAAACUUCUCUUGUAGCUUCCGCUUUACGGUGUCGGGGAAGUAGUUCGCGAACAUCGCUCUUUUGAACUCCUCUCAUUGCAUAGGCGGAAGAUCGGAAGAUCGAUCCCACUUUACUCGCUUCCACCAUACCUUCGCCGCCUUUUCUAAGCAAUGCGUGGCGAGUUGCACCUUAUCCUUCUCCAAGGUGUAUAUAUCCUCGAAGAGUGACUCCAUCGAGUCAAUCCAUGCCUCCACCAUUGACGGCUCCACUUUGUCUCCGUCGAAUAUCGGUGGAUUGAACUUCUUGAACAUAACGAGAGCCGCCAACGCACGCUCCCGCUCCGCCUCUACCGCCGCACCUUCGGGGUUUGAGGUUCCCGAUCCAGCCGGCACCAUCGUGAUGGGCACAGCUGCCACUGCCGCCGCUCCCUCGACUACACUUGGCACCACCGCAGGGGGCGCAGGAGACUCAUCACUCCAAUGUGCUGCCGCCGCCUGCUGUCGCUCUAAGGCUUCUUGAAGCCUCUGAAUUUGCUCUCCUUGAUGUUGAACAGACUCCGCUUGUUGCCGCACCACGCCAAUAAGCGCGGCCAUUUGCUCCCGAAGCUCAUCGUCGCCACUUGCUCUGGAUUACUCGGGCGCUGCAUUCGGCUCUGUUGAAGCAUAAAAAAAAAAAAAAAAAAAAAAAAAAAAAAAAAAAAAAAAAAAAAAAAAAAAAAAAAAAAAAAAAAAAAAAAAAAAAAAAAAAAAAAAAAAAAAAAA